rnacentral:lncRNA from 1 species
ACCGACUUCAUAGCUGAGUACGCAGGAGACCAAGAGGAAAAGCCAACUACAUGGGAACUCUAUGUAGAUGGAUCCUCAAAUAAAACAGGAAGCGAUGUAGUCAUAAUAUUGGCGGAUGAAAGGGGAACUCAAAUAGAAGUAUCCCUCAAAUUCGAAUUCCCAGCUUCAAAUAAUCAGGCAAAAUAUGAAGCCCUGAUUGCAGGAUUGAAGCUAGCAGAAGAGGUCGGUGCGACAAAAGUGACGAUAUACAGUGACUCUCAGGUGGUAACCUCCCAGAUAAAUGGAGAGUAUCAGGCCAAAGACCCGAACAUGAAGAGAUACCUGGAAAAAACUCUGGAAUACCUCGGGCGCUUUGCCGAAACCAAAGUUAAGCAUAUAACUCGGGAUCUCAAUAGCAGAGCAGACGCCCUCUCCAAGUUAGUGAGUACUAAGCCAGGAGGGAAUAAUAGAAGCCUGAUCCAGGAAACUCUCCAAGAGCCCUUUGUAGUAAAAGCAGAGGGCAAACAAAAUGUCCUCGAGGUAUCCGGCUAAAUCUCGGAUGGAUGAAUCCUCUGGUCGAAUACCUAAAAUUCGACAUCCUCCCCAAAGAGGAAAAAGAGGCCAAGAAAAUUCGCAGGGAAGCACAAUAUUACACUCUGGUAAAAAAUAUCCUUUAUAGAAGAGGAAUAUCAACGCCAUUGUUGAAGUGCGUACCAACCUCAAAGACCACUGAAGUGCUAGAGGAGGUCCACAAUGGGAUCUGCAGAAACCAUCUCGGAGCCAGGUCGCUAGCCAGAAAAGUAAUCCGAGCUGGAUUCUACUGGCCGACCUUGCAGAAAGAUGCCACAGAAUUUGUGAAAAAAUGCCAACCUUGCCAAAUGCAUGCAAAUUUCCACAUAGCUCCCCCCGAGGAGCUCAUUAGUAUAACUUCUCCAUGGCCCUUUGCAAAAUGGGGAAUGGAUUUGUUAGGUCCUUUUCCCCAGGCGCCAGGGCAAGUCAAAUACUUAAUUGUGGGAAUAGACUACUUCACAAAGUGGAUAGAAGCAGAACCAUUGGCCACCAUCACCGCCCAGAGAAGUCGGAGGUUCCUCUACAAAAAUAUCAUUACAAGGUAUGGGAUACCUCACUCCAUUACCACAGAUAAUGGAACCCAGUUCACCGAUUCCACCUUCAGAAGCCUAGUGGCCAGUAUGAAAAUCAAACACCAGUUCACCUCGGUGGAACACCCACAAGCAAAUGGACAAGCCGAGGCAGCCAACAAAGUCAUACUGGCAGGGCUAAAGAAAAGACUACAAGAUGCAAAAGGAGCAUGGACAGAAGAGCUCCCCCAAGUGCUGUGGGCUUAUCGGACGACACCCCAAUCUGCAAUUGGAGAAAUACCCUUCCGACUUGUCUAUGGGGUAGAAGCUAUGAUACCAGUAGAAAUCAGUGAGCAAAGCCCAAUAGUGAUUCUCCAUGAUGAAAUCUGAAACAUACAGGGGCACAAAGAGGAGCUAGAGUUGCUCCCCGAAGUCCGAGAACAAGCCCAGAUAAGAGAAGCAGCGCUGAAGCAAAGGAUGGCUACCAGAUACAGCAAGAAAGUCAUUCGAAGAAGUUUCGCACUAAGCGAUCUGGUCUUAAUCAGAAACGACAUAGGAGUCAACAAAUCGGGGGAAGGAAAACUCGCUGCCAAUUGGAAAGGACCCUACAAAGUUAGCGAGGUCUUAGAAAAAGGUUAUUAUAAGGUGACCGACCUAAGCGGCGCCGAGUUACCUAGAUCGUGGCAUGCUUGUAAUAUAAAAAGGUACUAUAGUUAAAAGCGAACUCUACUCCCUGAUGUACUCUUUUCCCAACUUCACGAUUUUUUCCCAAACAUUAAAGGGUUUUUUCUGAAGAAGGGUUUUUAAUGAGACAUCAUAGUAGAGGCUAAGGGGGAAAAGAUUAUUAAAAACCCUUAGUAGCAGUAAAGUACCUUCCCAAAUUAAUAAAGAUCUUUUACAAUAUCUCUUAUAAAUUCCUUCUCGUUUAUUUUUCUUCCUACGAAACGCGCCGACUUAAGCUCGACAAAACGUAAAAAUCCCAUGAACCGACCUCGAUGGUCGUCCGGAUAAAACGACGAGGUACAAGUCGGUGUAAAGAGGUUAUAAAAGUUGAUCAUGAGAAACUCGGAGGCAUUUCGACUCAUAAGUCGAAAUGAAAAACCGAGUAGAAAAGAAAACGCAUCGUAAAAAUAACCUAAGUCAUAGAACUCAAUAAAACAAAGUUGAGUAUAAGGAAUAACAAAAAAGAGAUCGAAAAACCUAGGAAAAAGCUUAAAGGCUGUCCUAAAGUCCUUAAAACAAAAAGGCUUAGAAAGACAGACAAGCAAAAGAUUUUCAGAAAAGAUUAAAGGGACUUCGAAAAAUCAAAAUCAGAAAGCAUGCACACAAAAAGGUAGCUGAAAUCCUUAUACCAAAAAGGGUAUUUUUUGUUAAAUAAAACCCUUAUCCAAAAAAGGGCAACUAUAAAUAUUUUUGUUUACGGCCAUAAAAGGCCAAGGCAAAUGUCAACAUACCACCACCACGAAUAUAAAGAGUUAAAAAAGAGGGGACCCACAGGCCGGGCCCCCAUAUAGCCAACAAAUUUUUAAAGAGCAUCACCACCAGGACCGAAGGGAGUAGUCGGAUCACCACCAGAGUCAGGAAGAGGAGUCGGAGCGCCAUCAGAACCAGGGAGAGAAGUGUCCAUAGGAGUCGGAGAAGAGGCGCCGAGAGGUCUUGAGGAGCUCGGAACAUCCUUUUGACGAGGAGGGGACUCAAUGAUUCUCUGCACCCGAGUCUUUAAAUAUGACUCGGUGACAACCUCGGGAGCUGGGGGAUAAACUAUGGCACCAUCAAUAAGGACCUUGUCAGGAUCCAAAGGAGAGAGAUCCAGGUCGGGAGCAAGAAUUCCGACCUGCUCCUUAAAAAUCCUCCAAGCCUCCUCGGCCCCCUCAGCAAUAGAGUCCUUCAACUCGGCAUAGGCAGUCCGAGAGUUCAACAAGUCCCUCCUUAUAGCCACAAGGUCCUCAAAUAAACUCUGAUAACUCUCCUGCGCCUUCUUUCUCAAGCCCUCCUCCAUGUUACAUAGGGCUUGUAACUUGCUUUCCUUCUCUCAGAGGCCAUCACUCUCCUCCUUCAAUUUGGCAACCUCCUUCUUCAACUCCUUCUCAUGUUCCUGAUAUAUGAGAAGCCUUCCCUCCAACUCUUCAACCUUAGAGGUUGAACCCAGAGAGCUAAGAGGAGUCUUCUCAAAAAUAUCAAGGAACUUGGCACAAAUCCCCGCCGCCCUGAUGCUCUCCUCAGCCAGAAUAGUGAGGUGGUUCCGAAUAGAAACAUCAUCCAUACUUAUAUGGGUAUGAGGAUAGAUGAACUUUCGGAUAAAUGCAGGAGCAUCCACCUUAGUCUCACCUUUAAAAAAAGAGCCAGACUCUAAAGCCUUGCGCUUCUUCUUCUCUGGCUCAGGAGAAGGUCGGGGAGGAGGGGACGACUGAGAAGAAGCCGAAGCAGGAAUAACAAUGGGUUGAGAAGGAGUCCCCAAAUUUCGGGAAGAAGGGUGAGGAAGAGGAAGAAGAGAGCUAGUUACCCUGGCACCACCGGUUCUGGCGGGAGACCUCGCCUUGGCCUCCUGGACUCUCUGGUAAGACUCAUUGGAAUUCUUCCUCGCCAUCUCUGUAAAAGAAAACGAUUAGUAAAACAAGUCGGUAAAGUCGGUAGAAACAAGUCGAAAACAAAGUAGAUAAAAGCUACCUAGUUGUGUCUGGACAAAAGAUGACGACCCCUGGAGAAAUUUUUUGGUAUCCAGAUAUGGGGCCCUCCCCCAUACUUCUCGGAGGAACCCUACAAUGGCUGCCUCCACCUCAUCCAGAUCCUCCAAACCAUAUUUCUCACAGGGGGAAGCCUCUAACCAGUAUAAGGGAAAGCGAGGGGAAGAAUUCUCAUCCAAGAAAAAGGGGUGGUGACCCUCUACGCCUUGAACUUUGAAAAAAUAAUUUUUGAAGUCAUGAAAGGAUUCAUCAAAAAGGGUGAAAACUCUCCGACCUUGUAUAGCUCGGAAAGACACCCAUUGUUGCUUAUUAUUUUGCCCACUGAAGGGCUUGGUCAUGUGGAAGAGAUGAAAGAAAAUUCUCAAAGAAGUCAGAAAGUCUAAAGCAUGGCUGAUAAACUGGUAGAUUUUCAAAAAACCCCAGGAAUUGGGGUGAAGCUGGGUAGGUGCAACACGGCAGUGACGUAAAACAGCAAUUUUGAAAUCAGAAAAUGGAAGGAAAAUACCCAAACGGGUAAUCAUGCUCUCAUACAUAAAGAAGAAAUGAGGGGGCCGUCUCAGUAGCCCUCCCGAAACAAACCCAGUCUUCCGGACCCGGGACAAGCAAUUCAUACUUUGGCUCAUCCUCAUCAGAGGUGCAGAGCCAGUGAUGAGUGCGAAGGUCAGUAAUAAAAUCAGUGUCAACCAGAGGUUCCUCUCCUAAGACUGUGACAUCAACCCACUGAGCAAGAAUUUCUACGGAAGACAUUUCUUUUCCUAAAAAGGUGAAUGAAACCUACAAAGAAAAAAGAAAAGAAAAUAAAAAACAUGGUCUCUAAGGGGAAUACGGAAUCAUAGCCUACGAAUCAACUUCUCUCUAUCUAAAGAAUAAAGACAUGCAAACAGAAGCAUUUCAUAAAAAGAGAAGAGGAGAAAAAGGCUAACCUUUGCCUGGAAACAAGGUAGAAGAAGAUGCAAGCCUUCAAACAAAGAAUGCCCCACGUACAGAAGAGAAGAAAAUUUGAAAAACGCAGAAACGAAACAACGAAAGAGAGGGAAGGCAUUUAUAGGCACGUUAGGGGCAUAAUGGUAAAAAUGGAAAGCGGUCAUUAAUGGGCGCACCGUUACCAAGGUAAUUAAAACCUACGCAAACCCCUAACGGACACGACGUUUGAUUGGACAUAACUAUGGAAACCAAAAGUCACAAAAGUCACGUCGGUUCCGAACAAACACGUCGGUUCCCUCCCAAGUCGGCUACGACCCCGAGUAGAAUACUCGAACCCAAAUCUUAAAAGAAAUUGGGCUCGAGUAGGGGCACUGUUCAUACCCUGGCCCAAUGAUAAGGCCCAGGUACAAACGAAAGGCCCAAUCCAAAGGAUUAAGCCUCGCUCUAUACCGACCUUCACCCCACGAAGUCGGUUCCUACCUCGACUUGCUCUAAAAAAGUCGGGACGAAGAUUAGCUGGCAAAUAAACACCCAUUCAAAUGAGUAACUGCCCCUAAAAUCUCUCUACCCACUUUCUGGAGCCAUAUCUCAACCUCCCUAAGAUAAAGGAACGGUUAUUUCCCAUGAAUAACGGAACCACACCAACAGUGGUUAUGGGUUCACCACUAUAAAUACACUGACACUUCUCAGGUAUCACUAAGCCCAAUACUCUCUAGACCUGUUUUGCUCCCUUUGCUGACUUUGGCAUCGGAGUGUCUUUGCAGGUACCACCCCCCAUUCUCUCAUACCGAAGUCAGAGGAGGGCCUUGGCGCAUCAAUCCGCUCGGAUACUCCAUCAUUCCAACGAUUGGGCCAGCCAAACUAAUCCAACCCCAUAAUCUCCGGUUACCCACCGUAACACAUACCUUAGCCAAUUCCUCUCUAAGCUCGGAACUCCUCAAAAACCUCUCAUUUUACAAGAUCCAAGCUUCCAAACGUCAAUUCCUCAAGCUUAAUCACUCGAAUUUUGUUCUAAACCGCCCAAUUGAACUCCAAAUCAACAAGAACACAAUCUAAUUCAUACAAUAUCACUAUAAUCGACAUAUAGUUCACUAAAUUAGAAAUUUACCAAGAAAUAGGAGUUUUUACCUUACUCACGGCUCAAAUGAAGAAAAUCCAAUAGUUUUCUCAAACUAACUCAAGCCUAGAACAUCAAAAUCACAUAAUUUAUCACACUCAAAACCUUAAAUUUCGAAAUUAGGGAAGAAUGACUGAAUAAAAAAUUGUUAGAUUGUUACCAAAUUGAUAUAUGGGUUUUAUAAAGAAUUCCAAGACGAAUGCGUGGCUGCCAAUGGUUCGUCAAUCAGAGCUCUAGAUUAAAAGUUACGAACGAUUGAAUUUUUGAAAAGAUUACGUUAUUUCCUUCCUCUCGACAAGUCCUACGUGCUUCAAGGAAUUAUAGGAAGAAGAAGGUUGGAUCUUAAUUAAGGGCCUUAGGUCCGAUUUGACCAGUUCGAUCUGUUAGUCUGGUUUUGAGACAAAAUAUUUAAAAUUAGUGUCAAAAUUUGUAUUUUUAAUAUUUCCACUUCACUAAACUAUAAAAUAUUAUUUCCUAAUUUCUUUGAAUAAUAAUUACUGGGCAUAUGCGGUCAACUUAUCCGUGAAUAUGGUCGACCCAACGAACAGAAAAUCUAGCAUCUAACGUAUCUCUUAAUAGACUCCUCAGUGUCCAAUGGCUCUGCGUCUCUGAUGCGGCAAACCCAACCCAACGUUAUAUAAGAUUUCGAAGAACUACUGACAACCAGUUCGCGACUGAAUAUCGCGAUGCUAUGGCUCUAUAGGAAGUCGCUACUACUAUCUGUCCAGCCGCUCACAGGCUCUCCAUCAAUGGGUAGGCCAAAUAUAUGAGCAACAUCUUUCAGUGUCACAGUAACCUCAUCCACUGGCAAUAUAAAGGUAUGAGUUUCUGGCCUCCACCUUUCCACCAGAGCAGCUAAUAAGGGGGUAAAAUCCUCUUAUCACCAAAAUCCUAGAAACGUGGUAUAAUCCCGUUAGGUGUAAAUAAUUUCCGACCAUAGUAUUCCAUAUAUGAGGCGGAUCCAGUUUACGAACCAUCAGAUUCCUGUUAGGCUGGUUCAACGAAAAUAUAUUUAUUCACUAACUAUAUUUAUUAGUUUAAAUAAAUAAAAAUUAUUACAAAUAAAUAUUUAUUUAUAAUACAAAUGACAUAAUUAUAAAUAUUGUNNNNNNNNNNNNNNNNNNNNNNNNNNNNNNNNNNNNNNNNNNNNNNNNNNNNNNNNNNNNNNNNNNNNNNNNAUUAUAGUAAAAAAAUUCAAAAAAAUUAUAUAUUCACAUUUAUAUAAAAUAAAAUAUGAUUAUAUUAGAAAAAUAAAAAGAUUAUUCAAAAAUAUUAAUAAAAUACAAAAAAAUAAUAACAAUACUAUAUUUUCAUCAUAUGAAACUAACAAUAACAAAAAUUACAAAAAUUUAAAUACAUAAAAAAAUAAAAUUUAUCAACUUAUAUAAAUUGGAUGAUCCAAAUAAUUGAUAAUAUAUUUUUCGAGUAUCAUAUAUUUACGUACCAUUUUUAAUCACUAUAAACUAAUAUUUUUUUUGUAUAAUUUUUUUCUUAACUCACACUACUACUAACAACACACUCUUAACACUCUUCUUCUUUUUUCUUGGUAUAUAUAUCCUAUCAAACUACUAGCACACAUAAUACAGCAUACAAAUGCAUGAAUGGGUCAUGAAUAAACUGAAUUUAUAGAGCUUUAUUUGGUCGCUGGUUAUCAGGGUGGAAGGGCUAUCCAUGCAGAUCGCUUGCAACAUGCCCCUGUGUUGCUGCAGGUUCUUCGGAAACUCGCAAAAACCCUACAACGCUUUAAGAAAUCUGAGAGAACAUGCCCACCGCGUGUUGCCAGGGUAUUGCCACAUGUCUCAGCCCGCCAUAUCACUACACUUCUCGCGUGUUGUCGGAAAACUGUCACACUGACGCAUUCUGUGAUCACGCUCCUGCGUAUUGACUCUGCACUUAUAUACCCGCAAAACACCCCAUCCUUAAUAUUAAGCAAAAAUAUGAUUGGGGGUUCAUAUAAAAAAAUAAAUUCUGUCAAAAUACAUCACUUCUCUACACAUUGUUUAAACUGUCUUUAGCUCAUUUUGAUNNNNNNNNNNNNNGUAUACAUUUAAAUUUGUACCCAUCUAAUAAUUAAAAAGAUAAUAUAACUGUUACGGUGGGUAACCGGAGAUUAUGGGGUUGGAUUAGUUUGGCUGGCCCAAUCGUUGGAAUGAUGGAGUAUCCGAGCGGAUUGAUGCGCCAAGGCCCUCCUCUAACUUCGGUAUGAGAGAAUGGGGGUGGUACCUGCAAAGACACUCCGAUGCCAAAGUCAGCAAAGGGAGCAAAACAGGUCUAGAGAGUAUUGGGCUUAGUGAUACCUGAGAAGUGUCAGUGUAUUUAUAGUGGUGAACCCAUAACCACCGUUGGUGUGGUUUCGUUAUUCAUGGGGAAUAACCGUUCCUUUAUCUUAGGGAGGUUGAGAUAUGGCUCCAGAAAGUGGGUAGAGAGAUUUUAGGGGCAGCUACUCAUUUGAAUGGGUGUUUAUCUGCCAGCUAAUCUUCGUCCCGACUUCUUUAGAGCAAGUCGAGGUAGGAACCGACUUCGUGGGGUGAAGGUUGGUAUAGAGCGAGGCUUAAUCCUUUGGAUUGGGCCUUUCGUUUGUACCAGGGCCUUAUCAUUGGGCCAGGGUAUGAACAGUGCCCCUACUCGAGCCCAAUUUCUUUUAAGAUUUGGAUUCGAGUAUUCUACUCGGGGUCGUAGCCGACUUGGGAGGGAACCGACGUGUUUGUUCGAAACCGAUGUGACUUUCGUGACUUUUGGUUUCCACAGUUACGUCCAAUCAAAUGUCGCGUCCGUUAGGGGUUUGCGUAGGUUUUAAUUACAUUGGUAAUGGUGCGCCCAUUAAUGACCGCUUUCCGUUUUUACCAUUAUGCCCCUAACGUGCCUAUAAAUGCCUUCCCUCUCUUUCGUUGUUUCGUUUCUGCGUUUUUCAAAUUUUCUUCUCUUCUGUACGUGGGGCAUUCUUUGUUUGAAGGCUUGCAUCUUCUUCUACCUUGUUUCCAGGCAAAGGUUAGCCUUUUUCUCCUCUUCUCUUUUAUGAAAUGCUUCUGUUUGCAUGUCUUUAUUCUUUAGAUAGAGAGAAGUUGAUUUCUAGUCUAUGAGUCCGUAUUCCCCUUAGAGACCAUGUUUUUUAUUUUCUUUUCUUUUUCCUUUGUAGGUUUCACUCACCUUUUUAGGAAAAGAAAUGUCUUCCGUAGAAAUUCUUUCUCAGUGGGUUGAUGUCACAGUCUUAGGAGAGGAACCUCUGGUUGACACUGAUUUUAUUACUGACCUUCGCACUCGUCACCGGCUCUGCACCUCUGAUGAGGAUGAGCCAAAGUAUGAAUUGCUUGCCCCGGGUCCGGAAGACCGGGUUUGUUUCUGGAGGGCUACUGAGACGGCCCCUCAUUUCUUCUUUAUGUAUGAGAGCAUGAUUACCCGUUUGGGUGUUUUCCUUCCAUUUUCUGAUUUCGAAAUUGCUGUUUUACGUCACUGUCGUGUUGCACCUACCCAGCUUCACCCCAAUUCCUGGGGCUUUUUGAAAAUCUAAUAGUUUAUCAGCCAUGCUUUAGACUUUCCGACUUCUUUGAGAAUUUUCUUUCAUCUCUUCCACAUGACCAAGCCCUUCAGUGGGCAAAAUAAUAAGCAACAAUGGGUGUCUUUCUGAGCUAUACAAGGUCGGAGAGUUUUCACCCUUUUUGAUGAAUCCUUUCAUGACUUCAAAAAUUAUUUUUUCAAAGUUCAAGGCGUAGAGGGUCACCACCCCUUUUUCUUGGAUGAGAAUUAUUCCCCUCGCUUUCCCUUGUACUGGUUAGAGGCUUCCCCCUGUGAGAAAUAUGGUUUGGAGGAUCUGGAUGAGGUGGAGGCAGCCAUUGUAGGGUUCCUCCGAGAAGUAUGGGGGAGGGCCCCAUAUCUGGAUACUAAAAAAUUUCUCCAGGGGUCGUCGUCUUUUGUCCAGACACAACUAGGUAGCUUUUAUCUACUUUGUUUCCGACUUGUUUCUAUCGACUUUACCGACUUGUUUUACUAAUCGUUUUCUUUUACAGAGAUGGCGAGGAAGAAUUCCAAUGAGUCUUACCAGAGAGUCCAGGAGGCCAAGGCGAGGUCUCGCGCCAGAACCGGUGGUGCCAAGGUAACUAGCUCUCCUCUUCCUCUUCCUCCCCCUUCUUCCCAAAAUUUGGGGACUCCUUCUCAACCCAUUGUUAUUCCUGCUUCGGCUUCUUCUCAGCCGUCCCCUCCUCUCCGACCUUCUCCUGAGCCAGAGAAGAAGAAGCGCAAGGCUUUAGAGUCUGGCUCUUCUUUUGAAGGGGAGGCUAAGGUGGAUGCUCCUGCAUUUAUCCGAAAGUUCAUCUAUCCCCAUACCCGUAUAGGUAUGGAUGAUGUUUCUAUUCGGAACCACCUCACUAUUCUGGCUGAGAAGAGCAUCAGGGCGGCGGGGAUUUGUGCCAAGUUCCUUGAUAUUUUUGAGAAGACUCCUCUUAGCUCUCUGGGUUCAACCUCUAAGGUUGAAGAGUUGGAGGGAAGGCUUCUCAUAUAUCAGGAACAUGAGAAGGAGUUGAAGAAGGAGGUUGCCAAAUUGAAGGAGGAGAGGGAUGGCCUCCGAGAGAAGGAGAGCAAGUUACAAGCCCUAUGUAACAUGGAGGAGGGCUUGAGAAAGAAGGCGCAGGAGAGUUAUCCGAGUUUAUUUGAGGACCUUGUGGCUGUAAGGAGGGACUUGUUGAACUCUCGGACUGCCUAUGCCGAGUUGGAAGACUCUAUUGCUGAGGGGGCCGAGGAGGCCUGGAGGAUUUUUAAGGAGCAGGUCGAAGUUCUUGCUCCCGACCUGGAUCUCUCUCCUUUGGAUCCUGACAAGGUCGUUAUUGAUGGUGCCAUAGUUUAUCCCCCAGCUCCCGAGGUCGUCACCGAGUCAGAUUUAAAGACUCGGGGGCAGAGAAUCAUUGAGUCCCCUCCUCGUCAAAAGGAUGUUCCGAGCUCCUCAAGACCUCUCGGCGCCUCUUCUCCGACUCCUAUGGACACUUCUCUCCCUGGUUCUGAUGGCGCUCCGACUCCUCUUCCUGACUCUGGUGGUGAUCCGACUACUCCCUUCGGUCCUGGUGGUGAUGCUCUUUAAAAAUUUGUUGGCUAUAUGGGGGCCCGGCCUGUGGGUCCCCUCUUUUUUAACUCUUUAUAUUUGUGGUGGUGGUAUGUUGACAUUUGCUUUGGCCUUUUAUGGCCGUAAACAAAAAUAUUUAUAGUUUCCCUUUUUUGGAUAAGGGUUUUAUUUAACAAAAAAUAUCCUUUUUGGUAUAAGGGUUUCAGCUGCCUUUUUGUGUGCAUGCUUUCUGAUUUUGAUUUUUCGAAGUCCCUUUAAUCUUUUCUGAAAACCUUUUGCUUGUCUGUCUUUCUAAGCCUUUUCGUUUUAAGGACUUUAGGACAGCCUUUAAGCUUUUUCCUAGGUUUUUCGAUCUCUUUUUUGUUAUUCCUUAUACUCAACUUUGUUUUAUUGAGUUCUAUGACUUAGGUUAUUUUUGCGAUGCGUUUUCUUUUCUACUCGAUUUUUCAUUUCGACUUAUGAGUCGAAAUGUCUCCGAGUUUCUCACGAUCAACUUUUAUAACCUCUUUACACCGACUUGUACCUCAUCAUUUUAUCCCGACGACCAUCUAGGUCGGUUCAUGGGAUUUUUACGUUUUGUCGAGCUUAAGUCGGCGCGUUUCGUAGGAAGAAAAAUAAACGAGAAGGAAUUUAUAGUAGAUAUUGUAAAAGAUCUUUAUUAAUUUGGGAAGGUACUUUACUGCUACUAAGGGUUUUUAAUAAUCUUUUCCCCCUUAGCCUCUACUAUGAUGCCUCAUUAAAAACCCUUCUUCAGAAAAAACCCUUUAAUGUUUGGGAAAAAAUCGUGAAGUUGGGAAAAGAGUACAUCAGGGAGUAGAGUUCGCUUUUAACUAUAGUACCUUUUUAUAUUACAAGCAUGCCACGAUCUAGGUAACUCGGCGCCGCUUAGGUCGGUCACCUUAUAAUAACCUUUUCCUAAGACCUCGCUAACUUUGUAGGGUCCUUUCCAAUUGACAGCGAGUUUUCCUUCCCCCGAUUUGUUGACUCCUAUGUCAUUUCUGAUUAAGACCAGAUCGCUUAGUGCGAAACUUCUUCGAAUGAAUUUCUUGUUGUAUCUGGUAGCCAUCCUUUGCUUCAGCGCUGCUUCUCUUAUCUGGGCUUGUUCUCGAACUUUGGGGAGCAACUCUAGCUCCUCUUUGUGCCCCUGUAUGUUUCGGAUUUCAUCAUGGAGAAUCACUCUUGGGCUUUGCUCACUGAUUUCUACUGGUAUCAUAGCUUCUACCCCAUAGACAAGUCGGAAGGGUGUUUCUCCAGUUGCAAAUUGGGGUGUCGUCCGAUAAACCCACAGCACUUGGGGGAGCUCUUCUGUCCAUGCUCCUUUUGCAUCUUGUAGUCUUUUCUUUAGCCCUGCCAGUAUGACUUUGUUGGCUGCCUCGGCUUGUCCAUUUGCUUGUGGGUGUUCCACCGAGGUGAACUGGUGUUUGAUUUUCAUACUAGCCACUAGGCUUCUGAAGGUGGAAUCGGUGAACUGGGUUCUAUUAUCUGUGGUAAUGGAGUGAGGUAUCACAUACCUUGUAAUGAUAUUUUUGUAGAGGAACCUCCGACUUCUAUGGGCGGUGAUAGUGGCCAAUGGUUCUGCUUCUAUCCACUUUGUGAAGUAGUCUAUUCCUACAAUUAAGCAUUUGACUUGCCCUGGCGCCUGGGGAAAAGGACCUAAUAAAUCCAUUCCCCAUUUUGCGAAGGGCCAUGGAGAAGUUAUACUAAUGAGCUCCUCGGGAGGAGCUACGUGGAAAUUUGCAUGCAUUUGGCAAGGUUGGCAUUUUUUCACAAAUUCUGUGGCAUCUUUCUGCAAGGUCGGCCAGACCAGAGGAUUCAUCCAUCCGAGAUUUAGCCCGGAUACCUCGAGGACAUCUUGUUUGCCCUCUGCUUUUACUACAGAGGGCUCUUGGAGAGUUUCCUGGAUCAGGCUUCUAUUAUUCCCUCCUGGCUUAGUACUCGCUAACUUGGAGAGGGCGUCUGCUCUGCUAUUGAGAUCCCGAGUUAUAUGCUUAACUUCGGUUUCGGCAAAGUGCCCGAGGUAUUCCAGAAUUUUUUCCAGGUAUCUCUUCAUGUUUGGGUCUUUGGCCUGAUACUCUCCAUUUAUCUGGGAGGUUACCACCUGAGAGUCACUGUAUAUCGUCACUUUUGUCGCACCGACCUCUUCUGCUAGCUUCAAUCUUGCAAUCAGGGCUUCAUAUUCUGCCUGAUUAUUUAAAGCUGAGAAUUCGAAUUUGAGGGAUACCUCUAUUUGAGUUCCCCUUUCAUCCGCCAGUAUUAUGCCUGCACUACUUUCUGUUUUAUUUGAGGAUCCAUCUACAUAGAGUUCCCAUGUAGUUGGCUUUUCCUCUUGGUCUCUUGCGUACUCAGCUAUGAAGUCGGUGAGGCAUUGGGCUUUGAUUGCUGUCCGAGUUUCAUACUUCAAAUCAAACUCGGAGAGCUCUAUUGCCCAUUGAACCAUUCUCCCCGCAACAUCCGUCUUCUGGAAGAUUUGUUUCAUGGGUUGGUUCGUUCUGACUCUUAUUGUAUGUGCUUGAAAAUAAGGCCGUAGCCUUCGUGAGGCUAUUACUAAGGAGUAGGCAAACUUCUCUAGUUUGUGGUACCUUAGCUCGGGGCCUUGUAGAACUUUGCUGAUGAAGUAGAUUGGAUGCUGUCCGGCCUCAUUCUCCCUUAUCAGGGCUGAUGCGACAGCUCUGUCUGCUACAGACAAAUAAAGGACGAGAUCUUCCCCAAUUAGAGGUCGGGUUAGGAUUGGUGGUUGACUCAAGAACCUUUUGAACUCCUAGAAUGCUUGUUCGCAUUCCAGAGUCCGUUUGAACUGGCAUCCUGUUCUUAAUAAAGAAAACAGUGGAAGGGAUUUGAGUGCUGAUCUUGCCAAGAAUCUGGAGAAGGCUGCAAGUCGGCCAUUCAAUUGCUGAACCUUUCUUAAGCAAGUCAGGCUCUUCAUUUCCAGGAUAGCUUUACACUUAUCGGGAUUUGCUUCAAUCCCUCUCUGUGUUAGCAUAAAACCUAGGAAUUUUCCAGCCUCCACCGCAAAGGCACACUUUGCGGGAUUUAGCCUCAUCCUGUGUAGCCUUAUGGUGUCGAAGACUUGCGAGAGGUCGACUUCUUCUUUGGUUUUCACUAGCAUGUUGUCGACGUAGACUUCCAUUAAGCUCCCUAGGUGAGGGGCGAACACUUUAUUCAUCAACCUUUGGUAUGUGGCCCCUGCAAUUUUAAUCCAAAUGGCAUGACUACGUAGCAAAAAUUAGCUCUGGGCGUGAUGAAUGAUGUUUUCUCCUGGUCUGACUCAUACAUCAGGAUUUGGUUAUAUCCCGAGUAGGCAUCAAUGAACGACAAGUAUUGAUAUCCUGAGCUAGAGUCUACUAGGGUAUCAAUACUCGGGAGUGGAUAAGGGUCUUUGGGACAUGCUUUAUUUAAGUCGGUGUAGUCAACACACAUCCUCCAAUUGCCGUUUUGCUUCUUGACUAGAACUACAUUUGCUAGCCAUGUUGGAUAUUUAACUUCUCUAAUGAAGCCGGCUUCUAGGAGUGCCUGAACUUGCUCUUCCACCACUAGGGCUCGUUCCGGGCCGAGCUUGCGCCUUUUCUGUUGUACAGGUCGGGAUCCCGGAUGUACCGAGAGCUUGUGGGACAUGAGCUCGGGGUCUAUCCCGGGCAUGUCGGAAGCCUUCCAGGAGAAGAGGUCGGAAUUGUCUCUUAGGAGCUUAGUCAACCCUUGCUUCAGGGUUUCCCCUAGGUCGGCUCCUAUGCUGGCAUUCUUCCCUUCCUCUUCGUCGACCUGUAUUUCUUCAGUUUUUCCUCCUCGCUGUGGUCGUAGCUCUUUUUUGGCCCUUGCACCACCGAGCUCUAUGGUGUGAACCUCUUUGCCUUUUCCCCUCAGGUUCAGGCUUUCAUUGUAACACUUUCUUGCCAACUUCUGGUCUCCCCGCACUGUUGCUAUUCUCGCAGGUGUCGGAAAUUUCAUGCAAUGAUGGGGGGUAGACACCACCACUCUAAGUCGAUUCAGGGUAGUUCUGCCGAUUAAGGCAUUGUAUGCUGACCCUACGUCGAUGACUAUAAAGUCUAUACUCAGAGUUUUGGAUUUUUCCCCCUUUCCGAAGGUAGUGUGGAGAGGUAUAAAUCCUAGUGGUUUUAUUGGCGUAUCGCCUAGCCCGUACAAGGUGUCGGGAUAGGCUCUUAACUCCUUUUCAUCCAGCCCCAGUUUGUCAAACACGGGCUUGAAAAUGAUAUCCGCCGAGCUUCCUUGAUCUACUAGGGUUCUGUGGAGAUGGGCAUUAGCUAGGAUCAUAGUUAUUACCACUGGAUCGUCAUGUCCAGGGAUUACUCAUUGUCCGUCCUCUUUUGUAAAUGAGAUAGUGGGGACGUCGGAUGAUUCAUUUCUGACCUGGUAGACUCGCUUGAGGUGUCUUUUGCGAGCGGACUUGGUGAGUCCCCCUCCCGCGAAUCCGCCUGAGAUCAUAUGUAUAUGUCUCUUCGGAGUCUGCGGUGGUGGGUCUCUUCUAUCCACAUCGUCUCGCUUUCUCUUCCCAUGAUUGUCCGACCUUUCUAUGAGAUAUCUGUCAAGUCGGCCUUCUUUGGCAAGCUUUUCUAUCACAUUUUUAAGGUCGUAACAGUCAUUUGUCGAGUGACCAUAUAUUUUAUGAUACUCACAGUAGUCGCUGCGACUCCCCCUUUUUUAUUUUUAAUGGGCCUGGGAGGUGGCAGCCUUUCAGUAUUGCAAAUUUCUCUGUAUACGUCCGCUAUAGAAACCUUUAGAGGAGUAUAAGAGUGAUAUUUCCUGGGCCUGUCAGGACCGAGGUCUUCUUUCUUCUUGGGCUCCCUUUCUCUCUCUUUUAUUGAGGGAAGGUGCCCAGGUCGCCAGCUCGACUCUCUCAGCCUGACAUUUUCCUCCAUGUUGAUGUAUUUUUCAGCUCUUUCUUGUACAUCACUCAGGGAUGUGGGGUGCCUUUUUGAUAUGGACUGUGAGAAGGAACCUUCCCUAAGUCCAUUUACUAGCCCCAUAAUGACUGUCUCGGUGGGUAGGUCUUGAAUCUCUAAGCAUGCUUUGUUGAACCUUUCCAUAUAAUCUCGUAGAGGUUCUCCGACCUCCUGUUUUAUUCCCAGGAGGCUCCAUGCAUGCUUUACUUUAUCUUUCUGAAUGGAGAACCUCAUCAGAAACUUCCUCGAGAGGUCCUCGAAGCUGGUAACCGACCUUGGAGGGAGACUAUCGAACCACUUCAUCGCUGCUUUCGAUAAGGUGGUCGGGAAAGCUUUGCAGCGCGUUGCAUCAGAAGCAUCAGCCAGAUACAUCCGACUUUUAAAGUUGCUUAGAUGAUGCUUCGGAUCGGUGGUUCCGUCAUAGAGGUCCAUAUCGGGGCUUUUAAAGUUUUUUAGAACUUUUGCCCUCAUUAUGUCCUCACUGAAAGGGUCCUCCCCUCCCGGGGGCGACUCUUCUCGAUCUUCACGGGAAUUCUGACCUCUGAGGGAGAAUUCUAACUUUAAGAGUUUUUUCUCUAACUCUUUUCGUCGAUCCAUCUCCUCUCUUAGGUGCUUUUCUAUCUCCGAUUCCUGUUCCAGCUGUUCCAAGCGACUUUGGUGGACAUGGACUAGCCCCAUUAGUUCAGUUGCGUGGGGUGGUCCAUCCUUUUCUGAUUCACGCCCCUCCAAGGAAUUUGUCUUCGGAUUUUUAAAUCCGGAGGUUCCUUCCCUGUGUUGGUCGUUGGUUUCCUGGUGAAGGGUCAGGUCUACGUCGUGGUUUCCGGUAUCCAGAUUCUCUUGUUCGGAAUCUGAUGCCACAUGACCGUCUUCCUGUGACAUGUCCGCCUUUACUGGUUGAUCUCACGGGUCCCCGGCAACGGCGCCAAUGUUACGGUGGGUAACCGGAGAUUAUGGGGUUGGAUUAGUUUGGCUGGCCCAAUCGUUGGAAUGAUGGAGUAUCCGAGCGGAUUGAUGCGCCAAGGCCCUCCUCUAACUUCGGUAUGAGAGAAUGGGGGGUGGUACCUGCAAAGACACUCCGAUGCCAAAGUCAGCAAAGGGAGCAAAACAGGUCUAGAGAGUAUUGGGUUUAGUGAUACCUGAGAAGUGUCAGUGUAUUUAUAGUGGUGAACCCAUAACCACCGUUGGUGUGGUUCCGUUAUUCAUGGGGAAUAACCCUUUCUUUAUCUUAGUGAGGUUGAGAUAUGGCUCCAGAAAGUGGGUAGAGAGAUUUUAGGGGCAGUUACUCAUUUGAAUGGGUGUUUAUCUGCCAGCUAAUCUUCGUCCCGACUUCUUUAGAGCAAGUCGAGGUAGGAACCGACUUCGUGGGGUGAAGGUCGGUAUAGAGCGAGGCUUAAUCCUUUGGAUUGGGCCUUUCGUUUGUACCUGGGCCUUAUCAUUGGGCCAGGGUAUGAACAAUAACAAACCUGAUGGAUUUUUUAUUUUAAUAAAUAAAAUAAAUGUAAUAUUUAUCGAAAUAAAUAUUUUUGCAAAAAUUUACCGAUUUAAAUUUCCUUGUCAUAUCUCGUUUACAGUAUAAAUGAGAUGAUUUUUUAGGUAUAUGGCAAGUCAAAUUGAUACGUGUAUAUUUUGAUAUAUGUAUUUUUUUUAAAAAAAUUGAAAAUAAUAAAAAAUAUUAAUAAUAUCAAUAAUCUAAACUGUUGGCAUGUAAUUAGUACAUAAAAAGUUGAUAGAAGAGAUUAAAAUGGAUAUGUUUGAUCAAUUUUAGUCUAUUUUAAAUAAUAGGGAUUAACACGUUUAUUUAGAAAUCAUUAAACUUCCCACUAUUAAUACGGUUACCCCUUUUCUAAUUAUCCACUUUUUAAAAAUUUAAAAUAUAAUUUUUUUGUGACUAAAAUAUAAUUUAAAUACACGUGAUUUAUUUGAUAACUCGGUUCAUGCAUGUUACUGCUCUAUAUAUAAUAUGAAAUCUUUUUUACUUAAAUUAUAUUUCAAAUUUUUAUGUACUACUCCCAUGCAACAAAUAAAAUUUAUAUAUACUCCCGUGUAAAAACAAAAAAAGUAAGUGAAUAUGAAAGAAAAUAAAUGUGCUGUGAUAAUAGGUAGUUACAAAUAUAUUUUCAACACACUAUUAAUAAUGGGCAAUUACAAAUAUAUUUUUAUUUAUACACUAUUAAUAUAUUUGUUUUUUCCAUAUUCACUUAGGGAGUAUAUAUAAAUUUUAUUUGUUGGAUGGAGUGCAUAAAAAUUUGGAAUAUAAUUUUUUAUGCCCCAUCCUUUUCUAAUAAAAUAACAGAUAUUGUACCCAUUUUUUAUGAACAACUUUAAUUAUUAAAUAGAAUUUUUAAAUUAAUUAUAAAAUUAUUUUACUUUUAAAUUGUGGAUGUUUUAAACUAUGUUACAAAAGAUUUGAAUGAUUUAUUUUUAAUGUACUGAUAAUAUAAAAAUAAUUAUACGGUUAUUUAAAAAUUAGAAGUAAUAAGUAAUUAUUUAAUGCUUAAUAUGAUAUUGGUUAUAAUUACGUGAUAAUUGAAACGGUUAUCUCUCACACGUUAUCUUCCAUUAUCCACGUGAGAGAUAACCGUUUCAAUUCUCCCCAUAUCGGUAUAUCCCAUCAAUCUCUCAACAGUUGCCAAACAAUUAUUUUUAUUUUUCAAAUUUAAAUCAAUCAAAUUGAAAGAGAUUGAUGGGAUAGUAGAGAGAAAAUUGAAAAUGUUAUUUCUCACGUGAUAGGAGAGAUAACGUGAGAAAUAACCGUUUCAAUUAUUCUCACGUAGUUGUCAUAACGACCAAUAUUAUUGCUUCUCAUUAAAUAAUUUCUCUUUUUGAGUAUUAAUUGAUUAAAUAUAUCCAUUUCAAUCUCUUUUACCAAUUUUUUAUGUAUUAAUUGCAUGCCAAAAUUUUGACUUAUUGAUAUUAUUAAUAUUUUUUAUUAUUUUUAAAAUUGAAAAAAAAUACAUGUAUCUCAUUUAUACGGUAAAAUUGACACGAAAUCUGACAAGUCAAAUUAACACGUGUGUAAACGAGAUAUGGCAAGAGAAUUUAAAUCGAUAAAUUCUCAUAAAAAUAUUUAUUUCGAUAAAUAUUAUAUUUAUUUUAUUUAUUAAAAUAAAAAAUCCCAAACCUGAUGCGUUGCUUAAUAAAAGAAGUUGGGUUUAGUAGCUCACACGUAAAACGUUCUAAUCUCUGUCAACCUGAUCUACCAUUCAUUCACAUAAAACAAACCCUAAGUAGACGGUGUUUUUCUGCAGCACCGAUUUCUGCAACCCUAACUGGUAAUUGCUACUUUUAUACCUAAUUCGUUUUAAAUUAUUCAUAUUCAGGAUUUGGAUUAUGGUUAAUGUGCUGCUAUUGGUGAGUUUUGGUUGUGAAUCAAGAUGAGUUCUUGAGGCGAUCGCGGGAGAACAUGGAAUUUCCUAUUUUAUUGUUAGGAUAACGAGGGUUACGUUUUAAGCUUUUUCUGGUUUUGAUUUGCUAAGAUUUUCGAUGUGGUUUGUUGUGCUUUUCCUUGCUGUGUUUUGUGCUAGGGUUUUGAAUAACAACGAAAAAAUGAGCUAGUUGCUCUAUUUAAUUUUUUUGCAACAAUUUUGAAAAAUAAUAAUUACAAAUCUUGUAUUUAACUGAGUUUAGAUUGAGAACUAUGCUUGAUUAUUUAGGUUUACACUUUAAUCUUUGAGUACCAAUUAUUAUUAUUGACGAGGUUAUAUAUAUAUAUUUUCAAUUGAGAUUUAUUUUCUUUUUCAGAUAUUUCAUUUCAGAUUUAAUUGAGGAUAUAUAAGUGAACUCUGACAGCAUUCUAGAUUCUUCAUCUAGGAUAUUAAUUCCUCUUAAAUGUUGGUUGUUUUAGUAAAUUAAUCUUGCAAUGGAGCAAAAUGAAUGUUAAUGUUUCUGAUGCUAACCCCAAUGAUCAAACCAAUUCACAAGGCUUGUUAUAUAGAAAUGAUCCAUUCUGCUUAUUGUUUGCAGAACCUGUAGUAGAAGUGAAAUUGAAGAGCAGUAUGAAAGAAGCAGCAGCAAUACCAUACAAUUUAAGAUGUCAUGGUCGUGUAGUUGGCGACCGCUAUUUGAGGCCUAGACAAGUCCAGGUUGAUUAUAGCUCCAAGAGACGUCGGUCCAGACGCAGGUUAUGCUUGUUACUUUUUAGAGCUUCUUGCCUUCUCCUUUUACAUACGGUUUGUUCAGCUAAUAAGAAUUCGCAUCAAAUUAUCAAUAUAUUGAUUUCUUUUUUUUAAUAUUCCUUUCCUUGAAAAUCAAUUGUUGUUUGAAAUCAAAGACAAAAGCCUUGUGAUCCCUCUUCAUCAGAAUCUGAUGAAGAUGAAGAGCCCCCCUUACCUUCGCUUAUAGUUUAUGGCAUUACAUUAUUAGAUUAUUAUUAUUAUUGCUUAAAUUUCCUUGUUCUUACAAAUCAACUUCUAUGUGACAUCAAAGGACCCUUUUUUAUUGAAGGCGAGGCACUGAAGCUGAAGAAGUGUGAGUGCUAUUAUGAUUUGUAACCAUAUAUCAAUAUAAUAAACUCCGCCUAUGUUACACUUGCGGUACAUAGUCGGUACAUAGCCGGUCCCAAGCCCGGAUAAAGGAGGAGGGUUGUGUUAGGUCUUCGGCAACCAACAUAAAAAUAUAGCCGAACCCCCAUGACAUAUCAAUAUAAUAAUACCUCCUUUUGGUUUUUUUCCCCUUUCUUUUUUUUUUUUGGGCAUUCUUCCAGAUUUCUAAGGAAAAUGAGAUUUAAAUUUAUUGAGACUACGUUUCCUUAUCCAUUAGCUGCAAUGAAACACUACAACCAUGGGCUAAAAGAGGUAAAUUAACUUCUUAGUCCUAGUCUAUUGAUUUCUUUUGAUUAUAGUACCUUUAUUAAACAAUAAAAAGAAAAAUUCUUCCUUGUUAUUUGUUUUUCAGGAAGAGCAAUAUGAGGUUACUGGUACUCGUGGAAAAGUGUGCCGUUAUUUCAAAAAACUUGGCUAUAUACGCCUAAUGCACUUUAUAGCUGAGCCUAAAUAUACUAAAAACAUGCCCAAUGCAUCAGAGGAUACCGCUAAGCACUUUUAUGCCAGAGUUCAUCAAAUGCCUAAUCGUGAAACUCAUGUGGAUUACUGUAAAGUGCAAGAAAAACCCUCACCACGUGGUAUCUUUACUAAAAUUUUUCUUUCGUGCUUUCUAUUUUUUGUGGCCCCACUUAAUGAUGCGGCUUGUUUGGAAUGUGUUGUAGGUCCUUUUCUCCAUGAAGUCGUUCCCUUGUGCUGUGAAACUUGUGGUCUUAAGGAUCUGAAAGCCCUUGAGUCAAAAUCAUUGGAAUUGAGGUUUAUUCACUCUUUAGUGAUAGUAAUAUAUAUUGAGUUGUUUAUAAGAGUUUAUAUUGACUUGUUUUUAUUUUGGAAUUGAAGUGCUGAAGGUGAAGGAGGAAAGGAGGAGUAUUGGAAGUAAGAGUCACUGUUUCUCUUUUUAUAAUAUGUUUAUCUUCUGCAUAUGGAUUAUGAUUUUUAAUUGAAAAUUGUUUGGCUUACACGUUUGUUUUUAUUUGUUUUUCUAUGCUUUCUGCAGUGGUUAUCACACCUCCACUCCUCCAAAACUUAUUGUGGCACGCAGAAACCCAGAGUUCAUAGCAAAACAAGCCGCCGGGAGAAAGAAAAAACGUUGAAUGGAUCUUAGAAGAAUUGAACAACUAAUAUCCAGUCUGUACUCAUGUAUGACUGUUCCUUUGGCAAGAUUUUCUUGUAAAGCAAUGUUGUUUGCGGAGAAUACUUUCUAACUUGACUACAGUAAUAUUAGCUAAGGUUUUCUGUACUACAUUUGUGUGAUUAUGUCUAUAUUUCUACUAAUUUCUACUAAUUCUGGCGGAAAAUUAUGGGAUGUGGUGUGCAUUGAUCAUAUUGGUAUAUAUGGUGAUUUGUCUAAUUGUGGUUAGCUACAAAAGCAUCUUGUUUUAUAUCACCUUUGGUGUAUGCUACAGGGUGAACGGCUUGUUUAGAGGUUUAAUAAUCUAUCUGGUUAAAUCGGUUUAAAUAACUAAUAAAAUUAUUUAAAUUCUAUUUUAAAUUUAUGGGUAUCCAAAUUUUAUUUUAAGAAUUUGAUUAAUUUUAGAUUGCUUGGUUGUGAUGUGUUUAAAUAGAAUAAGAAUCGAAUAUUUUCUUUUAAUACUUGUAAGUUGAAUAUUUUUAUAUUCUUUAAAAUAUAAGAGAGAUAAUUAAGGGCAAAACACAUAGUUAAACUAAAUGGAGAGAAAAACUUCACAAUUCUACUAAAAGUAAAAACGCAAAGUGAAUCUCCCAAAAGCAGCAUCAAAACGCAAAGUGAAUCUCCAUGUAAUUUGAAUUAACCCAAUUCGAAUUACACAAAGCAAUUACGUGUUACGUGUGAUUAUAGUAAUUCGAAUAAUGUUGAUUUGAAUUAUGCAUGCAUGAGCUCCAAUAGUAAUUGGAAGCAUAUUAAUUUGAAUUACACACAAACAAGCACACUGUUUUUGCUACCCUUAGUUUGAACUAGUACACCAUUUUUGCUAUCCUUAGUAAUUCGAAACAAUAUGAUUCGAAUUAUCCCCGGUUUGGCUGCCCAUAGUAAUUUGAAAUAACACUCAAAUUUUAAAUAAAAUACUCUACAUAGUCAAUAAUAAUUUAGAAAUAAAAAAAAGGGUAAAACACGUUAAUAAGCCAAAGCCAAAACAAAAUUUCAUAAAUCAACCAAAUUGAAAAUCAAUACAUGAAUCAACCAGAAGUACAUUUUCAUGUAAUUCGAAUUAGGCUAAUUCGAAUUAUACAUUUAAUGUAAUUCGAAUCACACUUAUUCAAAUUACACACACGAACACAAGCACUAAUUCGAAUCAGAGUGAUUCGAACUACACACACAAACUCACAUACUAGUUCAAAUUGGACUGAUUCGAACUAGUAUCCGGUAUAUUAGCUCAUAGUAAUUUGAAGCAUGCUGAUUCGAAUUAUGGAAUAUUUACCAAAAAUAUUAGAAAAAUAUUAGUGAAAUAUUUUUCAAAAAUAUUAGAAAAAAACUAUAUAAUAUAAAAAAAAUAUACUACAAAAAAUAUAAAAAAAAUUAUAAAUAUUAGUUGAAUGUGAAUUCUAUAGCAUAAAUCUAAUCCAUGCAAUUAUUUUAAUACACCAACAAUUAUAUCUAUAUGGAGUCAAUGCUAAAUCGAAUUCAAUUAGUUCGAUAAUACGAGUCUAUGAAAAAAAAUUGUAUUUUAUAAAGUUUAAAAAUUUUUAUUAUGUAAUAAGUUAGUAACGAGUACAUUACAAAUCUUUUAUAGUACUUAUCAUAACAAUGUUUAAUUUAAUAAUUGUUAUUAAAGUUUUAGUUGUACUCGUUACAAAAUAAAUAAUCACAAUAAACUAGUAAGAGAAUAUUCCAAAUCUAACCCAAUAUACUUCAUACCUCCACUACCUUUCCAACUAGGGAUGUCAAUGGGGCAGGGCGGGGGCAGGGGAUGCCUCUCUACUCCCCAUCCCCACCCUCAGAUUUGCUCCCCAUUCCCGCCCCCGUUCCCCGCCGUGGGGUAAUAUUGCUCCCCAUCCCCAUUCCCCACAGGGCCCCAUUCCCCGCGGGGACCCCAUUCCCCAUCUACAUAAUAGUUCUAACUAAUUAUUAAUUUUCAUAUGAAUAGAGCUGCAAGUAUCUAUCUUACACAAAAACUACAAGAUUUUAUACAAAAAGUCUAAAUGACACGAUGGCGACUUCUUUCGAAAUAACGCAAUUGGGGGAUGCAACAACGAGCCAAAGGACAAAGCAGUGGACGAGGUGGGAGACGCGGCAACAGAGAGGAGAAUGAACACGACGGCAGAGUUACGAAAAGGAACGCCGCAAAUAGAAAUUACGACACGGUAAGGGUGAUGGCACAGUGAGGUGUGACGAUGCGGUGAGAAGGGUGACGAGGGGGUGGCUGCAGAGAGGUUGGAUGGAGUAUGGACAGCCUUAGGGAUCUCUGAAUUAAAGAAGGGUUAUGCAAAUAAAGAUUAAGAGUUUUGGGUUUCUCUAUAUAUGUGUGUGUGAGAAAUGACUAAAAAACAUAUAUGAGAAAUAAACUAUUAAGGAUAAUUCAACGAAAUCAUAAAUUUCGGGGAAUAGCGGAGAUGGGGCGGGGAUCCCGCUCGGGUCGGGUCCCCGCGCCUGCUUCGGGAGAAUUUUGUCCCCCAUCCCAUCCCCACGGAAAAAAUUCCCCACAAUUGGAUCCCCAUUCGGGGCAGUCCCCGCAGGGAUCCCUGCGUCUCGAAAAAUUUUGUCAUCCCUAUUCCCAACAGAAUAUUCCAAGAGCUGAACUUUAUGCAAGCACACACAAACACACACAAUACAAACAAAUAAUGUACAAGUAAGACAAGUAAGACAAUUAGCAAAUAAUUAGGAAAUAUUUACACUUAGGCAUACCAAAGCAAUUAAGCAAACCCAAACAUAUGUAAAUUGAUGCAAACCCUGAGACGAUUUUUAAUAUGAAAACGUUAAUGGAGCGCUGUUAUAGACUGUCAGAUGUCACGUUAAAAUUUAUAAAAUGAUGCAGUUUUAGUUUUGACAUUUAAAUAGCUCAAAAACGGCAUCGUAUCACUUAUUUUGUUACGUAAAAUUUUAAUUAACACCAUUUACGAUGAUGUUUUUGGGUUAUUUGAGUGCGAAAAGUAAAAUGACAUUAUUUUACAAAAUUUAGUGUGACAUCCAGCUGUUCAUGACAGUAUUCCGUUAACGUUUAUAUGUUGAAAAUUGUUUCAAGGACUAAUAUAAAUUAUGUUCACAAAGUUUAGAUAUUAAAUAAAAAAAUUAAAAUUUUAGGAACUAAAUUAAAAAUUGCAUGUAACUUCAAGAAUCCAAUUAAGUAUUAUCUCAAAAAAAUGAAUAGGCAACUCAAUCCAACUGUGGUUACCAAAUUUUAAUUCAAUCCAAAAAUUUUGGUAUGUUGGAUUGGGUCAAAAAAACCACAAAUUCGUUGGUUAGCUCAAAACAAUAGCAACUCCUAAAUUUAAGUUGAAAAAAAGGUUGUGAAAUAGCAAGGAAUUAUCCGAAAGAAUGCAAUGAACGAAUUAUUCUUUUUAGGUUUAAUUACUCUGUUGGUCCUAUAGUUUCACCAAAUUUUUAAUUAGGUCCCUAUACUUUUUUUUCAUUCAAUUGGAUCCUUACACUGCUUUUAAUUUUGUAAUUACGUCCUUUUCAUGUUAAAAAUGAGAUAAGUAACUAACAAAAAAUUAACCAACAUCAAUCAAUAAUCUAAAAAAAAUCAAUACUCAAUUCAUUUUUUUUAAAUUAUUCUUUUAUACUUUUUUUUCUUUUUUCUUCCUCUCAACACCACAAUUUCAUCUACCAUCAAAAGUUAUCCAUCUCCACCAAGUUACUGUACUUUUAUCGGCCACUUACCACCCAUCACCCUAAAUUCUAAAUUUCAAAUCUUAAAUUCUAAAUUCUAAAUUCUAAAUUUUAAAUCUUAAAUAUCAAACCCUAAAUAAUAAAUCUUAAAUCGUAAAUAAUAAAUUCUAAUUUUUAAAUCCUAAACUCUAAAUUCUAAAUAACGUUUGAGUUUUAGAUAUUUUUAUUAUUUCUAAUUUUAAAUAUUUGUUUUUAUUGUGAAUUAUUAAUUAUUUUAUUGGCUAAAAAUUAUUGGUUACGAAAACUUUUUCUUAAACCAUGAAUUGAAAUUUUUUAAUUUUACUUUUGUUUAGACAACAAAUUGAACACAAGAACUAAAAAAAUACUAUUAUAUAACUACUUCUCAACAAAGAAUGUACACUAACGAGAGGAUUGUUUCCCUAUUAUAUAAAAUUGUGUUCGAAUUUAUUGAUCGAAAAUUGAUUUUCGAUAUGAAAGGAAUUGAAUCGAAAGAUAUUGAAUAUAGGCUUUCGAGAAAAUGUGUUUAGGAGGCUAAGUUUGAGAGUUGCUGGCACAGAAGUUGUUUUCGAGUUACUUUGUCGAAAUCGAAGAAGUUAAAUCGAGGAGGAGAUUUGAUUUGAAGGAAGACUUUCGAAGAUUUAGUCGAGUGGUUAAAGAAGUGAGAAUGUUAGUGGAUAAUUAAUCACACGGGAGUAGAUAAUUAAUCACAUGGGGAAUAUCUAUAAUCAUGUAGCGGGAACAGUUACCAAAGGCGGUUGUGUUUUAAAAUUGUAAUUUAUUUUAAUUUUAAUUAAUUGUAAUUAAUGUAAUUUUAAUUGACCGUUAUGUAAGGGCAGCUUAUAAAUACUAGGAAUUUUCAGUGAAAAGGGGUUGGAACUUUUACUCAGAAAAACACUCUAAACACUCUUACAUCCCAGCGUAUUCCUGAAUUUGCGAUCGAGUUUCCUUUUUCUGUAGGGUUCCUUUCACCUUCUUUUAUUCUUUUUAAUUUCAUCCUGUUUGUAUUUUUUCAUAUUUUAUUUAAUCAUAUUCAUUAAGUGUUAUUCAUAUUUCUUUAUUUUUUCUGUUGAAUUUAGUUUUCAGUAUUUUAUCAUUACCAUUUUACAUGAAGAAAUCCUUUAUUUUAAAAGAAAGUAACUUAUUGUUUUCUUUUAAUUUCUUUAAAUUGUUUACAAAAUGUUAAUUUCUGAAUUUUAUUUACUAAUUUAUGAAUUCACUGUAUUUUAAUCCUUCAAAUUUAGUCUAAUCGAAGACACUUUGAUGCACUUAUAAAAAACUGGUACUCGCAUAGAGGAGUUGGUUUCGCUCCCAAACCAUUAGAAUCGAACCAUCAUCGAUUUGCUAAAAAUCGACAAAAUAAAUUGGCACACCCGGUGGGACAGUUUUAAAUCAAAGUGUGUCAAAAGUUACUACUUUCUAGUGUAUGCGAUUAUGAAGUAAGAAGAUCAUUGACAUAGCUGAUGAAUUGUCAAAUGUGAAUGGUGGUUCCUCCACCAAUGAUAGUAUACCAGUAUCCGUACAACAGGCCGACGUGUCUUCACGUUCGGAAGGUGCAAUCAGAACUGAAAGUAUAGUCAUCACGACUAUUGAAAAUGUUUGACGUAAUAUUCGUCCACGUGGCCCUGCGCCACCGUUUCAACCUCCAUUAACUGCUGGUUGGCCCCCUUAUGGCUUGCCUGUUGGUUAUACCCCACCGGUGGGUGGGUUUGUUCCACCUAUUCAAUUUGGAAAUAUAAGUGGAGUAAAUAUUAUGCAAAACCUACAACAACACUCUGAGUAUUCUCGUGAGUAUCACGUGGCUCCACUUCGAAUGCUGCGAGUUCAAUGGCAGCAUAUCGACAACAAGUGGAGGAAAGUCACCAUGACUUGGUUAAUUUAUUGACUCAGCAAAUGACUACAAUUCUGAAUCCUAUGAUGGCCGAUCAUGAAUCGAGAUUCGAGCGUCUUGCUAGACAAGUCGAGAGGAUUGCUUGAAUCGUCGAUUAUGAUGACGGUGAAAGGCAUAAUGCUCGAGGAACUAAUGAGGGGAUGGAAAAUAUUUUUCAAAAUGAAAAUCAUAUUCUAAAUCGAGAAAACCCUCGCAUAGUUCAUCGACAUGAGAAUGAUGAUGAUGUUUUACAUGGUUUGCGUGGUGAUCGUUAUCAGGUCACCCGAAUUGUAGAAGAAGUGUUAAAUCGGGUUGGAUUGAAUGUUGGUUUUAUGAAUCAGCCACAUUUUGUUUAGGCUUUUCCCCAAGUAAUCGAAAUGACUGAAGUGCCAAGAGGGGUAAAAAAUCCGAAAAUAACUUUAAAAUUUGCUAGAGAAGUUGGAGAAUCAACAACUGAACAUGUUGCUCGAUAUCUGAUCGAGAUUGAAAAUUUAGCAAAUGAUAAAAAUUUAAAAAUAAAAUUUUUUCCGUCAUCAUUGACGAAGAAUGCAUUUACAUGGUUUUCGAAUCUUAUACCAAAUUCGAUUAAAACAUGGAAUCAGUUGGAAACUGCUUUUCACGCUCAAUUUUAUCGAGGGAAAAUGAAUGUAGCAGUUACUGAUUUAGUAGCUUUGAAACGUGAAGAUGGUAAAACCAUUGAUGAUUAUUUAAUACGUUUCAAAAAUGCUAGAAGUAGGUGCUAUGUCACAUUGCCUGAGAAUGAGAUAGUGAAAAUAGCAACUAUGGGGUUAGGAUUCUAUAUGCACAGAAAGUUGCUUAAUGUGCAUAUUCCUGAUUUGGCUCAUUUGGCCGAAAAGGUUCGGCAAACUAAGUUAAUAAAAAAGGAAAAAGAAAAACAUAGAACCGAACAGAGGUCAAAAAGUAAACCAUUUAUUCGAAAGGAGAAAGUUGCUUAUGUAACUAUGGAGUCCUCAGAGGAGAAAAUCGAUUUUGAAACAGAAAUCGAUUUGGCCGAACUUAAGAAAGGCCCUCCAUAUGUUUGUUCUUUGUUGAAAAAACUCCCUGGUAGUGAAAAGUCGAAUGAUUAAAAAUUUAAAAGUGGAAAGAAAUAUAGUUUUGAUAUCUCGAAAUCUGAUCAAAUUUUUGAUGUGUUGCUUAAAGAUAGACAAUUGGUUUUGCCUGAGGGUAGAACUUUACUUUCCUUGAAGGAUUUGAAAGGAAAGCCUUAUUGUAAAUUCCAUCAAGCAACAAGUCAUUCAACUAACAUUUGUGUUUGUUUCAGGGAUUUGAUUCAGGAGGCAAUAAUGGAAGGACGUUUGAAAUUUGAUGAUGGCAAAAAGGAAAUAAAGGUCGAUGUAGAUCCUUUCGAAACUGAUGCCAGUUAUGUGGAACCCUGCUUUGAAGUGAAUAUGGUGGGAUGUCUUAUGAUUUUGAUGUGGCUCUUGAUGAUUUCGAGUCACAAGUAAGAGCUGUGUACCCCAGAACGGGGGAUGGUUUGUUGGACUUCUUGGUUUAGCAAAAAAUCAAAGACCGGGACGUAUCGUUGUGUCCACGGUGUAACGCUGUUUUUGAUGCUGAAGCAGCGGCAAUCUUUGAAAAGCAAAGAAUGAAAAAAAAAAUUACCACACAGGGAGGAACAAGCACGUCAGAGACAACCAAUUCGACGUGUAGAAGGUUCUGGUUCGAAAAUUCCUCUACAUGAUGUGAAUACAUAUUUGAGCCGAUCUCAGGCUAUUGGUGUUCAGUGAAUCAGUAACUGUCAAGAAUUUCAAAGGCGUGAUCCCUUAUAUCAACGUAAUCCUCAAUGGGGACACAGAGCGCCGUCUCGAAAUCAAUAUGCAGCUUUUCGAGGGCGAGCCAGAGGAUACCCAAGAGGAAGAGGAGGAAGGAGAAGUUUCAAUCAAAAUAAAAAAACUUCAGAUUGAUACGGAAAAGGAAGCAAGCAAGGGGGAAACUCCUUCAGUGCAUUCCCGAAUUGUCUUUCCUUCUGAUAGAGAGACUUAUCCUAAGGAGAUUCCAUCGCCAGCUAAGAUGGACAAAGGAAAGGCAAUUGCUCAGUCUUCUGGGGUAGAUAAACAUAAAGAUGUUGAUAUCGAUGAAGAAUACUUCGAUGAAGGAGAUGAUGACAUGGUGGGGAUGAUUUCGAUAAUCCCUACCGAGUACCUUGGGAAGUGUGAAGGUAAUUGAUGAGGGGAUAAUUUAUACGUUUUUUGGCAUUAUUUUUAGUAUGUUUUAAGUAUAUUUUAGUUAGUUUUUAUUAUGUUUUUAUUAGUUUUUAAAUAAAAAUCACUCUUCCGGACUUUACUAUGAGUUUGUGUGUUUUUCUAUGAUUUUAGGUAUUUUCUGGCUGAAAUUGAGGGACCUGAGCAAAAAUCUUAUUUAGAGGCUGAAAAAGGACUGCAGAUGCUAUUGGAUUCUGACCUCCCUGCACUCAAAAUGGAUUUUCUGGAUCUACAGAAGCCUAAUUGGUGCGUUCUCAAUUGCGUUGGAAAGUAGACAUCCUGGGCUUUCCAGAAAUAUAUAAUAGUCCAUACUUUGCCCAAGAUUUGAUGGCCCAAACACGCGUUCCAAGUCAGCUCAAUAAUUCUAGCGUUUAACACCGGAACUGGCACAAAAGCUGGCGUUUAACUCCAAGAAAAGUCUCUACACAUGGAAGCUUUAAUGUUCAGUCCAAGCACAUACCAAGUGGGCCCGGAAGAAGAUUUUUGCAUUCAUUACCUAUUUCUGUAACCCUAGGCUACUAGUUUUCUAUAAAUAGGACCUUUUGCUAUUGUAUUAUCAUCUUGGUUCUUCAGGUUCCCUCUCUGGGGCCGAAGCCAAUGACCACCAUUAUCACUUUUGUAUUCUCAACGGUGGAGUUUCUACACACCAUAGAUUAAGGUGUGGAGCUCUGAUGUUCUUCAUGAAUUAAUACAAGUACUAUUGUUUUUCUAUUCAACUCAAGUCUAUUUCUUCUCCAAGAUAUUCAUUCACACCCAAGAACAUGAUGAAUGUGAUGAUUAUGUGACACUCAUCACCAUUCUCACCUAUGAACGCGUGACUGACAACCACUUCCGUUCUACAUGCAAACAAGCUUGAAUGUGUAUCUCUUGGGUUUCUAAUCUAAGAUUGGAACCUUCGUGGUAUAGGCUAGAAUUAUUGGCGGCCAUUCUUGAGAUCCGGAACGUCUAAACCUUGUCUGUGGUAUUCUGAGUAGGAUCUGGGAAGGGAUGACUGUGACGAGUUUCAAACUCGCGAGUGUUGGGCGUGUGACAGACGCAAAAGGAUCAACGGAUCCUAUUCCAACAUGAUCGAGAACCGACAGAUGAUUAGCCGUGCGGUGACAGCGCAUUUGGAACAUUUUCACUGAGAGGACGGGAAGUAGCCAUUGACAACGGUGAUGUCCAACAUAAAGCUUGCCAUGGAAAGGAGUAUGAAUGAUUGGAAGAAGGCAAUAGGAAAGCAGAGGUUCAGAAGGAACAAAGCAUCUUCAUACUAGGGGUGGCAAUAUGUACCCUACCCGCGGGUAUCCAACCCGACCCCAUCCGGUCGGGUAGGGUUGCCAACCCGAUCCGCAGCGGGUAGGGUAGGGUGCGGGUAGAGUUUUCGUGCGGGUUGAGCCUCAACCCUACCCGACCAACCCGCACCCUAUAUAUGUAUAUGUUAUAUACUUGUAUAAAAAAUAUUUUAAGUAGAUGUUGAACUAAAGACUUCUCACUAAAUACAAAAGAUCCUUAGUCAUUAAAAGAAGAUCAUUAAUUGAUAAUUUAAUAAACUUUUUUUUACAUAAAAUUCAGUUUUAUUUUAAAUUAUUAUCAAGUUAUAUAAUAACGUUGCAUUUUUUUGUAACCCGCGGGUAGGGUCGGGUACCCGCGGGUUAAGAGCGGGUAGGGUUAGGGUUGAGAUAUUCUCAACUCGCGGGUAGGGUAGGGUUGAGUUUAUAUAAAAAUCUCAACCCGCGGGUAGGGUUAGGGUUGACUCCAAACCCUACCCUACCCUACCUAUUGCCACCCUUACUUCAUACGCUUAUCUGAAAUUCCUACCAAUGAAUUACAUAAGUAUCUCUAUCUUUACUUUAUGUUUUAUUUAUAUUUUAAUUAUCAAUCCUCCAUAACCAUUUGAAUCCGUCUGACUGAGAUUUACAAGAUGACCAUAGCUUGCUUCAAGCCGACAGUCUCCGUGGGAUCGACCCUUACUCACGUAAGGUAUUACUUGGACGACCCAGUACACUUGCUGGUUAGUUGUGCGGAAUUGUGACAAAGUGUGAUUCACGUUUGAGAGCUCCAAGUCUUUGGCGCCAUUGUUGAUGAUCACAAUUUCGUGCACCAAGUUUUUGGCGCCGUUGUCGGGGAUUGUUCGAGUUUGGACAACUGACGGUUCAUCUUGUUGCUUAGAUUAGGUAAUUUUACUUUUUAUUUUCGAAAAAAAAAAUUUUAUUCUGUUCUUCAGAGUUUUUAAGGAUGAAUUCUAGAGUUUCAUGAUGAUUUGUUGAAGUCUGGCUGGCUGUGAAACCAUGUUUAAUCUUUUGGACCGAGGUUUCAACUUAUCAUCACAAGAGCUUGAUGAUUUCUAUCAAUCUUGCUGUUGAAAGUAAUGAUCUGCUAAAGCUUGGCUGGCCAUUGGCCAUGUCUAGUGUUUUAGACCGGAGCUUCCACUGAAAGCUUGGAUGGCUAGUAUGCUAUGUCUAAUUCCUGGACCGGAGUCUUAGACUAACAUUGCAAUGAUUCCUGGAAUUCUUAUUAAAAAUUUUGAAUCCCUUUAUUUUCUUUUCCACUCAAUUUUCGAAAAACCACAAAAAAAUUUAUAAAAUUUUAAAAAUAAAAAAUAUUUUAUAUUUCUUGUUUGAGUAUAGUAUCAAUUUUUAAGUUUGGUGUCAAUUGCAUGACUUUCUUCUUCUUACAUUUUUCGAAUAUACACAUAUUGUUCUUCAUUGAUCUUCAAGUUGUUCUUGAUGAUUUCAUUGCUCUGAUCUUUAAAUUCUCUUGUUUUGUGUGUUUUGUUGUUUCUCAUAUGCAUUCUCAAUUUGUUAGUGUCUCUUAUAUGAAAAUUUUUAAGUUUGGUGUCCUGCAUGCAUUGUUUGUUUGAUUUGAGUUUCCUAAGAUUAGUUGUAUUUCGAUUGUUUCUCAUCAUUGAAAAAUUCAAAAAAAAAAUUUCAAAAUUAUGUCUUGUCAAGUCAAUAAUACAGAGAAUUGAAGAUUCAGAACAUUCAGCAGAGGAAUCAAACAGAAAAAGCUGGGCGUUCAAAACGCCCAGUGAAGAAGGAAAACUGGCAUUUAAACGCCAGAAUGAAUACCAUUCUGGGCAUUUAACGCCAGAAGGAUACUAGAGGGAAGAUUUUGUUUUUAAUUCAAAUCUUUUUCAAAUCAUAUCUUUUCAAUCAUAUCUCUUCAAAAUCAAUUUCUUUCCAUUUUUUUAUUAUUUUCGAAAAUCCUUGCUACUAUUAAUGAUUUACUUCAAAAUUUUCAAGUUGUUACUUGCCUAUUAAGAAAAGAUCAAAUUUUAAAUUUUAAGAAUCAUAUCUUUUAAUUUCUUAUUAGUCAAGUAAUCAACUUUAUUUUUAAAACUUUCUUUUUUUAUUUGAUUUUUAAUCAUAUCUUCUCAAUCACAUCUUUUCAAUCACAUCUUUUUCAAAAUUAACUCUCAAUCAUAUCUUUUUGAUUUCUAAUUUCAAAAUCUUUUUAAAAAAUCACUUAAUUUCUUUCCCAAUCUUAAUUUUCUAAAAUCUCAAUCAAAAUUUCAAAUUUCUUUCAAAAUCUUUUUAAUUUAUUUUCGAAAAUUCUUCCCCUCUUUUCACAUUCUUCUAUUUAAGGGACUAACACUCCUCUUCAAGGUGCAAUUCGAACUCUAUUCCUCUUGAUAAGUUCGAAUUCUCUUCUAUCUACCUCCUCCUUCUAUUCUUCUUUUCCUCUGACACCUCAAGGAAUCUCUAUAUUGUGACAUAGAGGAUUCCCUACUUUCUUGUUCUCUUCUCUUUCAUAUGAGCAGGAGCAAAGAUAAAGGCAUACUUGUUCAAGCUGAUCCUGAACCUGAAAGGACCUUGAAGAGAAAGCUAAGAGAAGCCAAAGCACAAUUCUCUCUAGAGGGCCUAAUAGAGCUUUUCAAAGAAGAAGAAAUAAUGGCAGCUGAAAACAACAAUGCCAACAAUGCAAGGAAGGUGCUUGGUGACUUUACUGCACCUACUCCCGACUUCUAUGGGAGAAGCAUCUCAAUCCCUGCCAUUGGAGCAAACAACUUUGAGCUUAAGCCUCAAUUAGUUUCUAAUGCAACAGAAUUGCAAGUUUUAUGGACUUCCAUCGGAAGAUCCUCAUCAGUUCUUAGCUGAAUUCUUGCAAAUCUAUGACACUGUCAAGACCAAUGGGGUUGAUCCUGAGGUCUACAGACUUAUGCUCUUCCCUUUUGCUGUAAGAGACAGAGCUAGGACAUGGUUAGACUCACAACCUAAAGAAAGCCUGAACUCUUGGGAAAAGCUAGUCAAUGCCUUCUUGGCAAAGUUCUUUCCACCUCAAAAAUUGAGUAAGCUUAGAGUGGAAGUCCAAACCUUCAGACAGAAAGAAGGUGAAUCCCUCUAUGAAGCUUGGGAAAAAUACAAGCAAUUGAUCAGAAGGUGCCCUUCUGACAUGCUUUCAGAAUGGAGUAUCAUAGGUAUAUUCUAUGAUGGUUUGUCUGAACUAUCCAAGAUGUCAUUGGAUAGCUCUGCUGGAGGAUCUUUUCAUCUGAAGAAGACGCCUGCAGAAGCUCAAGAACUCAUUGAAAUAGUUGCAAAUAACCAAUUCAUGUACACUUCUGAAAGGAAUCCUGUGAAUAAUGGGAAAAAUAAGAAGAAAGGGGUUCUUGAGAUUGAUACUCUGAAUGCCAUACUGGCUCAGAACAAAAUAUUGACUCAACAAGUCAAUAUGAUUUCUCAGAGUCUGUCUGGAAUGCAAGCAUCGGCAGUCAGUACCAAAGAAGCUUCAUCUGAGGAAGAAGCUUAUGAUCCUGAGAACCCAGCAAUGGAAGAGGUGAAUUACAUGGGAGAUUCCUAUGGAAACACCUAUAAUCCUUCAUGGAAAAAUCAUCCAAAUCUCUCAUGGAAGGACCAACAGAGGCCUCAACAAGGCUUCAAUAACAAUAAUGGUGGAAGAAAUAGGUUUAGCAAUGGCAAACCUUUUCCAUCAUCUUUUCAGCAACAAACAGAGAAUUCUAAGCAGAACCACUCUGACUUAGAAACCAUAGUCUCUGAUCUAAUUAAAACCACUCAAAGUUUCAUGACUGAAACAAGGUCCUCCAUUAGAAAUUUGGAGGCACAAGUGGGUCAGCUGAGUAAGAAAAUUACUGAACUCCCUCCUAGUACUCUCCCAAGCAAUACAGAAGAGAAUCCAAAAAGAGAGUGCAAGACCAUAACCACAACCCACACGGCCGAACCUGGAGAGGAGGAAGAGGCAGUGAUCUCCACUGAGGAAGACCUCAAUGGACGACCACUGGCCUCCAUGGAGUUCCCUGAUGAGGAACCAUGAGAAUCUGAGGCUCACACAGAGACCAUAGAGAUUCCAUUGAAUUUACUCCUGCCAUUCAUGAGCUCUGAUGAGUAUUCUUCCUCUGAAGAGGAUGAAGAUGUUACUGAAGAGCAAGUUGCUAAGUACCUUGGAGCAAUCAUGAAGCUAAACGCCAAGUUAUUUGGUAAUGAGACUUGGGAGAAUGAACCUCCAUUGCUCACUAAAGAACUGGAUGACUUGACUAGGCAGAAAUUACCUCUAAAGAGACAAGAUCCUGGAAAAUUCUCAAUUCCUUGUACCAUAGGUACCAUGACCUUUGAGAAGGCUCUGUGUGACCUGGGGUCAAGUAUAAACCUUAUGCCUCUCUCUGUAAUGGAGAAGCUAGGGAUCAUUGAGGUACAAGCUGCUAAAAUCUCACUAGAGAUGGCAGACAAUUCAAAGAAAUAGGCUUAUGGACUUGUAGAGGAUGUCUUGGUAAAGGUUGAAGGACAAUACAUCCCUGCUGACUUUAUAAUCCUAGAGACUGGGAAGUGUAUGGAUGAAUCCAUCAUCCUUGGCAGACCCUUCCUAGCCACAGCAAAAGCUGUGAUUGAUGUUGACAGGGGAGAAUUGAUCAUUCAAGUGAAUGAAGACUCCCUUGUGUUUAAAGCUCAAGGAUAUCCCUCUGUAACCAUGGAGAGGAAGCAUGAAGAGCUUCUCUCAAUACAGAGUCAAACAGAGCCCCCACAGUCAAACUCUAAGUUUGGUGUUGGGAGGCCACAACCAAACUUUAAGUUUGAUGUUGAACCCCCACAUUCAAACUCUAAGUUUGGUGUUGGGAGGUUCCAACAUUGCUCUAAACAUCUGUGAGGCUCCAUGAGAGCCCACUGUCAAGCUAUUGACAUUAAAGAAGCGCUUGUUGGGAGGCAACCCAAUCUUUAAUUAUCUAUGUUAAAUUUCUAUUUUAUUUUGUUAUUUUAUGUUUUCUGUAGGUUGAUGAUCAUGUGAAGUCACAAAAACAAUUGAAAAAGCAAAAGCAGAGUGAAAAAUAGAAUUAAAAACCGAACACCCUGGAGGAGAAGCUUACUGGCAUUUAAACGCCAGUAAGGGUAGCAGAAUGGGCGUUAAACGCCCAGUCUGGCACCAUUCUGGGCGUUUAACGCCAGAAAUGGGCACCAAACUGGCAUUUAACACCAGGAAUGGGCAAGAAGUUGGCGUUAAACGCUAGAAAUGGGCAGCAACCUGGCCGUCUGGCGUUUAACGCCAGGAUUGGCAGAAAGGGGCAUUUUUGCACGCCACUUGGUGCAGGGAUGAGAUAUUCUUGACACCUCAGGAUCUGUGGACCCCACAGGAUCCCCACCUCCCCCACCUCUCUCUCUCUUCUUCACCCAUUCACCAAUCAUCUUAAUAUCUCUUCCCCAAAACCCCUCACCUAUCAAAUCCCACCAUUCUCUUCACCACUAACAUCCAUCCUUCAUAAAACCCCACCUACCUCACCAUUCAAAUUAAAACCACUUUCCCACCCAAACCCACCCAUAAUGGCCGAACCAUACCCCCCUCUCCACUCCUAUAUAAACACAUCUUCACUCCUUAAUUUUCAUACAACCUAAACACUACUUCUCCCCCUUGGCCGAAACACAAAGCCCCUCCAUCUCCUCUAUUUCUUCUUCUUCUACUCUCUUCUUUCUUCUUUUGCUCAAGUACGAGCAAACCUUCUAAGUUUGGUGUGGUAAAGCUAAAGCUUUUUGUUUUUCCAUAACCAUUUAUGGCACCAAAGGCCGGAGAAACCUCUAGAAAGAGGAAGGGGAAGGCAAAAGCUUCCACCUCCGAGUCAUAGGAGAUGGAGAGAUUCCUUUCAAGGGUGCAUUAAGACCACUUCUAUGAAGUUGUGGCCAAGAAGAAGGUGAUCCCCGAGGUCCCUUUUAAGCUCAAAAAGGGCGAAUAUCCGGAGAUCCGACAUGAGAUCCGAAAAAGAGGUUGGGAAGUUCUCACCAACCCCAUUCAACAAGUCGGGAUCUUAAUGAUUCAAGAGUUCUAUGCCAAUGCAUGGAUCACCAAGAACCAUGAUCAAAGUGUGAACCCGGACCCUAAGAAUUGGCUUACAAUGGUUCGGGGGAAAUACUUAGAUUUUAGUCCGAAAAAUGUAAGGUUGGCAUUCAACUUGCCCAUGAUGCAAGGAGAUGCACACCCAUACACUAGAAGGGUCAACUUUGAUCAAAGGUUGGACCAAGUCCUCAUGGACAUCUGUGAAGAGGGCGUUCAAUGGAAGAGAGAUUCAAGAGGGAAGUUGGUUCAACUAAGAAGGCAUGGCCUCAAACCCGUGGCUAGAGGAUGGUUGGAGUUCAUCCAACGCUCGAUCAUUCCCACUAGCAAUCGGUCUGAAGUUACUAUAGACCGGGCUAUCAUGAUUCAUAGCAUUAUGAUUAGAGAGGAAGUAGAAGUUCAUGAGGUUAUAUCCCAAGAACUCUACAAGGUGGCGGACAAGUCCUGCACUUUGGCAAGGUUAGCCUUCCCUCAUCUCAUUUGUCACCUUUGCAAUGCGGUUGGAAUUGACAUAAAGGGAGACAUUCUCAUUGAUGAGGACAAGCCAAUCACUAAGAAAAGGAUGGAGCAAACAAGAGAUCCCACUCAUGGACAAGAGCAUGAGAAAAUUCCUCAUCAUGAAAUCCCUGAGAUGCCUCAAGGGAUGCAAUUUUCCCCAUAAAAUUAUUGGGAGCAAAUCAACACCUUCCUAGGAGAAUUAAGUUCAAAUAUGGGACAACUAAGGGUGGAACACCAAGAGUAUUCCAUCCUCCUCCAUGAAAUUAGAGAAGAUCAAAGAAUCAUGAGAGAGGAGCAACAAAGGCAAGGAAGAGACAUUGAGGAGCUCAAGCACUCCAUAAGAUCUUCAAGAGGAAGAACUAGUCGCCAUCACUAAGGUGGACCAGUUCUUUAAUUUCCUUGUUCCUUAUUUUUCUGUUUUUCAAAUUUUUAUGCUUUAUGUUUAUUUAUGUUUGUGUCUUUAUUACAUGAUCACUAGUGUCUAAGUGUCUAUGCCUUAAAGCAAUGAAAAUGAAUCCAUCACCGUUCUUAAAUGAAAAAUGUUUUUAAUUGAAAAAGAAAAAGAAGUGCAUGAAUUUCAAAUUUUAAAACAGUUUAGUUAUUUUGAUGUGGUGGCAAUACUUUUGUCGUUCUGAAUGAAUGCUUGAACAGUGCAUAUUUUUGAAAUUGUUGUUCAAUGAAUGUUAAAAUUGUUGGCUCUUGAAAGAAUGAUGGAAAAGGAGAAAUGUUAUUUGAUAAUCUGAAAAAUCAUAAAAUUGAUUCUUGAAGCAAGAAAAGACAGUGAAAAGCUUGCAGAAAAAAAAAGAUAUAUGCGGAAAAAAAAAGCCAAUAGCCCUUUAAACCAAAAGGCAAGAGUAAUAGAAAGGAUCCAAGGCUUUGAGCAUCAGUGGAUAGGAGGGCCCACAGGAAUAAAAUCCAGGCCUAAGUGGCUAAACCAAGCUGUCCCUAACCAUGUGCUUGUGGCGUAAAGGUGUCAAGUGAAAACUUGAGACUGAGCGGUUAAAGUCGUGGUCCAAAAGCAAAAAGAGUGUGCUUAAGAUCUCUGGACACCUCUAAUUGGGGACUCUAGCAAAGCUGAGUCACAAUCUGAAAAGGUUCACCCAGUUUUGUGUCUGUGGCAUUUAUGUAUCCGGUGGUAAUACUGGAAAACAAAAUGGUUAGGGUCACGGCCAAGACUCAUAAAGUAGCUGUGUUCAAGAAUCAACAUACUUAACUAGGAGAAUCAAUAACACUAUCUGGAUUCUGAGUUCCUAUAGAAGCCAAUCAUUCUGAACUUCAAAGGAUAAAGUGAGAUGCCAAAACUGUUCAGAAGCAAAAAGCUAAAAGCCCCGCUCAUCUAAUUAAUACUGAUAUUCAUAGAUGUUUUUGGAAUUCAUUGUAUAUUCUCUUCUUUUUAUCCUAUUUGAUUUUCAGUUGCUUGGGGACAAGCAACAAUUUAAGUUUGGUGUUGUGAUGAGCGGAUAAUUUAUACGCUUUUUGGCAUUGUUUUUAGUAUGUUUUUAGUAUAUUUUAGUUAAUUUUUAUUAUGUUUUUAUUAGUUUUUAAAUAAAAAUCACUCUUCUGGACUUUCCUAUGAGUUUUUGUGUUUUUCUAUGAUUUCAGGUAUUUUCUGGCUGAAAUUGAGGGACCUGAGCAAAAAUCUGAUUCAGAGGCUGAAAAAGGACUGCAGAUGCUGUUGGAUUCUGACCUCCUUGCACUCGAAGUGCAUUUUCUGGAGCUACAGAAGCCCAAUUGGCGCGCUCUCAAUUGCGUUGGAAAUUAGACAUCCUGGGCUUUUCAGAAAUAUAUAAUAGUCCAUACUUUGCCCAAGAUUUGAUGGCCCAAACAGGCGUUCCAAGUCAGCUCAAGAAUUCUGGCGUUUAACGCCGGAACUGGCACAAAAGCUGGAGUUAAACGGCCAAACUGGUACAAAAGUUGGCGUUUAACUCUAAGAAAAGUCUCUACACAUGGAAGCUUCAAUGCUCAGCCCAAGCACACACCAAGUGUGUCCGGAAGAAGAUUUCUGCAUUAAUUACCUAUUUCUGUAACCCUAGGCUACUAGUUUUCUAUAAAUAGGACCUUUUGCUAUUGUAUUAUCAUCUUGGUUCUUCAGGUUCCCUCUCUGGGGCCGAAGCCAAUGACCACCAUUAUCACUUUUGUAUUCUCAACGGUGGAGUUUCCACACACCAUAGAUUAAGGUGUGGAGCUCUACUGUUCUUCAUGAAUUAAUACAAUUACUAUUAUUUUUCUAUUCAACUCAAGUCUAUUUCUUCUCCAAGAUAUUCAUUCGCACCCAAGAACAUGAUGAAUGUGAUGAUUAUGUGACACUCAUCACCAUUCUCACCUAUGAACGCGUGACUGACAACCACUUCCGUUCUACAUGAAAACAAGCUUGAAUGUGUAUCUCUUGGGUUUCUAAUCUAAGAUUGGAACCUUCGUGAUAUAGGCUAGAAUUAUUGGCGGCCAUUCCUGAGAUCCAGAACGUCUAAACCUUGUCUGUGGUAUUCUGAGUAGGAUCUGGGAAGGGAUGACUGUGACGAGCUUCAAACUCGCGAGUGUUGGGCUUGUGACAGACGCAAAAGGAUCAAUGGAUCCUAUUCCAACAUGAUCGAGAACCGACAGAUGAUUAGUCGUGCGGUGACAGCGCAUUUGGAACAUUUUCACUGAGAGGAUAGGAAGUAGCCAUUGACAACGAUGAUUAUUACUUGGACGACCCAGUACACUUGCUGGUUAGUUGUGCGGAAUUGUGACAAAGUGUGAUUCACGUUUGAGAGCUCCAAGUCUUUGGCGCCAUUGUUGAUGAUCACAAUUUCGUACACCAAGUUUUUGGCGCCGUUGCCGGGGAUUGUUCGAGUUUGGACAACUGACGGUUCAUCUUGUUGCUUAGAUUAGGUAAUUUUACUUUUUAUUUUCAAAAAAAAAUUUCUAUUCUGUUCUUCAGAGUUUUUAAGAAUGAAUUCUAGAGUUUUAUGAUGAUUUGUUGAAGUCUGGCUGGCUGUGAAGCCAUGUCUAAUCUUUUGGACCGAGGUUUCAACUUAUCAUCACAAGAGCUUGAUGAUUUCUAUCAAUCUUGCUAUUGAAAGUAAUGAUCUGCUAAAGCUUGGCUGGCCAUUGGCCAUGUCUAGUGUUUUGGACCGGAGCUUCCACUGAAAGCUUGCUGGUUAGUAUGCCAUGUCUAAUUCCUAGACCGGAGUCUUAGACUAACAUUGCAAUGAUUCCUGGAAUUCUUAUUAAAAACUUAUUUGGCCAAGGCCCCAAUUAUGGUGAAUGUUCGUCCAUUUGAACCUUUAAAAUUCUAUAUUGCAGCAUCUAAGAAUUCGAUUGGAUGUAUGUUACCCUAAGAUGAUGAAAAUGGGCAUGAACGUGCAGUUUAUUACCUUAGUUGAGUCUUAACUGAUAUCGAAACAAUGUAUUCACCGACUAAAAAGUUAUGUUUGUCAUUAUAUCAUGCUUGUAUGAAACUAAAGUGUUAUAUGGUGGCUAAAUCGGUAAAGGUAAUAGCGCAGACUGAUGUUAUUAAGUAUAUGCUUAGUUUCCCUAUGUUAAGGGGGCGUUUGGGAAAAUGGAUGUUAGCAUUAAUAGAAUUCGACUUGCAAUAUGUCCCAGUAAAAGCUAUUAAAGGACAGGUCAUUACAGACUUUCUUGUGGAUAAUUCAAAAGGUCUGAAUGACCAGGGGGCAAAUAUUAUAGAUAUAAAGGUCAAUUAUUGGAAAUUGUAUUUUGAUGGAUCUAAGCACAAAGAUGGUGCAGGAGUUGGAAUCCUUAUUAUUUCACCUGAGGGUGUUCCAUCAGAAUUUUUGUUUGAAUUGAAGUAUCCUUAUUCUAAUAAUGUCGCUGAAUAUGAGGCUUUAAUUUUAGGUCUCGAGAUUUUAAUUGACAAAGGAGCUUUAGAGGUUCAAAUUCUAAGAGAUUCACAGUUGGUUUUAAAGCAGUUAUUAAAGGAAUUUAAAUGUAACAAUGAAACGUUACAGAAAUAUUUAGUAACUGCCUGGGAAAUGUUAACCUUUUUUCAGAAGGUUUCUUUGGUACUGAUGAGUUUGGAAAACUCCUAUUUAAUUUUGAUGAUGAACAAACAUUAUUGAAAUAUUUAAUUACAAAAUUAUUAAUUUGAUUUCACUUAACAUAUGUUAAUUAAUAAUUUUGUGGUGCAGAUUUUACCUUGGGCCGGAAAAUAAAAAUGUUGCUAGCCCAAAUUAAAAAUCAGCCUUGCUGCAUGUGUUAUAUUUAGUGGCUGAAUUUUUACUGAUGGGCCAAGCUCAAUAUUAUUAUAGCCAAGCCCAUAUUUAAUUUUGAUGAAUGCUUCCUAUGCUUGAUCCGAAAUCAAAUUUAUCAAGAAAGCAAAUGUUAUCAUUUGGGCCAGAUUAAAUUUUAAUGCUACCAAGCCCAACAUUAUUUUGAUGAAAGUUUCCAAGCUUGGUCCGAAACCAAGGUUAAAUGAAAGCUAAAUGGCUUCAUGCUUUCCAACGGAUUCCAUCUCUUUGUUAAGAAUGGAUUUCAAAUUUUAAUAUGUUAGCAUUGGAAACAUGAGAGAGAACUUGACUUUGAUUUGAUGGGAAUCAUUAUGAUUAAUGCUAUACGCUACUCAAAGCAAGGGAAGUAAAAAGCAAUCUAUCAACUUGUUUCAUUUUCAUUUAAUUGCUUUUACUUUAACUUCACAUUCUCUCUCAUCUCUCUCUUCUUCUUCUUUCGGUCAUUAUCCAGGAAACAAUGGAAACUGUGCUCAUCAACAAAGAAAAGGAAGAAGUUGCAUGCAUCAAGACCAUCAAGCUAAUGAUGGCAAGAAAACAUACUAAAAUAAAAAAUGAGCUGUGGCUGAGAUAUUCACUAUAUUUGGUUAGAUUUGGUGAUGUAUCUUGAGCCUUUCAUGCUCAAAAAUGGACGAAGAAGAUUCGGCCAGCAUGGAGGAGAUUCUUGAAGCAUGGCUUGUCUUUGAUUCUGUUUAACCACCACAGGAAGUAGCUAGAGUGGCGAAGUGAUGGUUGAGGCAGAGAUUGAAGCAGAUGAAGUCAUUAUCAUCAUGAAGCAUCAAGGGCCAGAAAUCCAUCUUGGAGAGCAAGCCAAGGAUGGAGAGCUCGGAUUGAUGAAGGGUGAUGAUCAAGAAAGGUCCAGAGGUAAUUGCAUGUUGGGUUUUACAUGGUUAUUUCUUCUCUCUCUAUGUGGCCGAACCGGUUCGGUUUGUUGAAGGAGGAAGAAGUUGGUUCAGUUUUGGCUUCAAUAAGUGGAGGCUCCCCUCUUCUAUAAUAAGGGUGGACAGCCACUGUUUGGAGCAAGGAGUAAGAUUUGAGAGUGCAAGGCACAGAAGUCUCAAAGCUACCUGAGCUAACAGUUUUCUCUUCUCCUUCAAUGUAUUCUGUUUUGUAAUUUUCUGUUUAAUUUUGUCAUGUCUUGAGUCUCAUGGAAAAAGGCAAACAGUGAGGUUUGUAUGAAAAAGCCAUAGAGCGGAAAAAGGCAGAGAGUGCAAAAUUAAAAGAAAAAGCCAUAGAUGUCUUAGAGUUCCUUUGUUCAUCUAUGUUGUGUUUCAUGAUUCUGUGGGAAUCCCCUUGUAAGUUGGGUUAGCAAUUUACAAGUUGUAAUCAGAUUGAUUAUAGUGAAAUUCCAUCAUGUUUGUGAUGGAGACUGGAUGCAGGCUGCACUGCACUUAGCAGCUGAACCAGGAUAUAUUUGGGUGUAAUCUUUCUUCUCUCCAACUCCAUUUCUGAUUUCUACUGCACAAGAGCAAAAACUAAAAUGUCUCGUGCCAAGUGACGAGACAAAACAAAAAGUCUCGUGGCAAGUGACGAGCAAAAACAAAAAGUCUCGUGUCCAGAGACGAGCUAAAACAGAAAAGUCUCCUCUGAGUUCAGCAAGCAUUAGCAACAGAAAAAGGGGGCUAAGAUUCAACCCCCCCUUCUUUUAGCCACUGAAACCAUCAGCUACAUAUCCCUAGAAUUCAUAAUGAAAUUGCUAAUGAAUUGUCCCAAAUUGCUUCAAAAUAUCGGAUUAGCCCGAAAACUGUUAGAAAAUUUUCUAGUAUCCAUCAAAUUUUAGUACCUGCAAGUAAAAGAGAAGUGUUGUGUAUGGAUGAAUGGGAGGAUUCUGAUUGGAGAAAGCUCAUUGCUCAAUAUUUGAAAGAUCCCAAUACUGCAGUUGAUAGAAAAAUUAAGUUACGGGCAAUGAAUUUUGUUUUAUUGGCUGAUGAGUUAUAUAAAAAAGGAAUUGAUGGAAGUUUGUCGAGAUGUUUAGGUCGAGAAGAUCAGAAUGUUGCUCUGGGCGAGGUUCAUAAUGGAAUUUGUGGUGCUCAUCAGGCAGGAAGGAAAAUGAGAUGGGUGUUAUCUCGAAAUCAUGUAUAUUGGCCGUCUAUGAUAAAAGAUUGUGUUGAUUAUGCAAAAGCAUGUCAGGAAUGUCAGAAACAUGGUUCGAUACAACAAAUUCCAGCAACUGAGUUACAUUCGAUAAUAAAGCCAUGGCCAUUUAGAGGUUGGGUUUUGGAUCUAAUUGGCUUGAUUUAUCCUCCUUCGUCGAGACAACAUAAGUUUAUCUUAGUGGCUAUUGAUUAUUUUACGAAGUGAGUUGAGGCUAUUCCGUUAGUAGAAGCUGGGCAAACUGAGAUAAUUGACUUUAUUGAGGAAAAUAUUAUUCAUCGAUUUGGAAUUCCUCAAACAUUAAGUACUGACCAAGGAACUAUGUUUACUGGUCAAAGAAUUAAAAACUUUGCAGCUUCGAGGAAUAUUAGUAUGGUCACUUCGACUCCUUAUUAUGCACAAGCUAACGGCCAAGUUGAAGCAGCAAACAAAAUAUUGAUAGGCUUAAUUAAAAAGCAUAUUGGGAAUAGGCCUCGAACAUGGCAUGAAACUUUAAGUCAAGUAUUAUGGGCUUAUCGAAAUUCACCAAGAGGUUCGACAGGAACUUCACCAUAUAAAUUAGUAUAUGGUCAUGAUGUAGUGUUACCAUUGGAAAUUAAUUUGAAUACUUUAAGGGUAACGAAACAAAAUGAUUUGCCGGUCGAUGAUUAUUGGAAUGCAAUGUUUGAUGAAUUAAAUGAAUUAGAUUCAGAACGAAUCUUGGCAUUAGAGAAUAUAAUUCGACAGAAGGAAAGUAUUGCUUGAAGUUAUAAUCAUCGAAUUUCUAGAAAAUCUUUCCAAACAGGCGAAUUGGUUUUGAAAGUUAUUUUACCAAUGGAAAAGAAAUCGAGAUUUCUUGGUAAGUGGUCCCAUAGUUGGGAAGGUCCUUUUCAAGUAAUAGGGACAUAUUCUGGAAAUGCUUAUCAAAUUAAAGAUAUCGAGUCAGGAAAGGUGAUUAGCUCAAUUAAUGAAAAAUAUUUAAAACUUUUCAUUGUUGGCAAACAUAGAAAAUCCAACAUGCAUAAGGUUUAAAAAAAGACAAAAGUCAUUAUAAAAAAAGAAAAGGUUUAAGACGCCAGUAAUUUAGCCAGAACAAAGCGUAGUUUGGUUCUUUUGCUUUCCAAAGUUGUGAGCAUCCUAGCUAGUUUGUUUAGAUUUAUCAAUCUGGAUCUCCUCAAGCUGUUGUUUGACUUUUUCUCGCUCAGUGUCGAUUGAGACAAGCUGUUAGAUAAGGAGAUGUUCUUGCUGAGCUGCAAUCAAAGGUUUAGCCAAGGUAGCCCAAUUCUGGCGGAGAGUAGCGAGUUGUUCUUGAAUUAAAGCUAAUUCCGCUUCGAGUCGUGCCUCUUCCUGAUCAUGAAAGGCUUGGACAGAAAUAGCACUGGCAAUCUUUAAAUUAAACUCAUCACGAGCAGCUUUGAUUAGUUGACCAGUUGCUUGAAAAUUUUCAAUUCUGGAUAUGGUUGUGGCUUCUUGAUUUUCAAUUUCUUGAAAUUGAAAAUGGAAUGUGACACUUUCUUCAAUGAGUUGUUUAAAUCCUUGAAUUAAAUCAGAAUAGGGAAUGUUGGUUGGGAUUUUAAAAGAGGAGCUUAGAAGAGAGGUCAAAAGUUGAUUAAGGAUUGGGUCAUUAACCCACGCGACAGGAGGAUGAUCCAAGAGCUUGAUGAGCAAUCGAAGUUGUUUCCGAGUAUCAGGAUCUAAUUCGAUUAGAGGUCUUGCAGAAACUGGACUUGAGAUGACUGGAACAGGUAUUGGCACUUUGGUCCCCUAGAUGAUUUUAUCCAAAAUAGAAGUCAAGUCAUCCAAGGUAGCACUUGAUGGAGUGGUGGGGAUGAUUGACGUGUUUGGUUUUGGUCCUGGAGGAGUUUGAAGUUGUGCCAAGUCUAAAGAUGUUGGUUGCAAUUCUGGUGGAGUUUCUGAGACCUUAGAUUUGGAGGAGUCUGAGUUGGUGGUGUCAACAACUUUGGAAGCAGAAUCAGAAUCAGGGACUAUUAAAUUCUUUUCAAAAAGAAUAAUCUGAUUGUCCGGAGAGGUCAAUUCAAUUCUUUGGGUUUCUGCUGGGGAGUGCUGUAAAGGAUUGACUGUUGGAUCUACUAUUUGUGUUGUAUGAGAAGAAGGUGGAAAAGUGGCUAGAAUUACUCUGGGUCCUGAAAAUUGAAUCGAGGUGGAAAACUUGACCGUGUUGCUGUGGCAAAAUUAAUGGGUUAGGCUCUUCAACAGAAGUGACUGAAUGAGUGACAUGAGCAGGCUAGAAUAAAAGGUACACAUUUGUGAGUUUCAAUUUUACGUUUAAAUAAACAAAGUUUGUAGUUAUGAUCGUGUUACCUGAGUCCUGCGGAUCAAUUGGGGUCCAGAAUCAGAAUCGGCUAUAUCUUCUGAUUGGGAAGAGGCAGUAGGAGUGUCUUUGAUGGCCAGAUUGAUUUCUUCAGAACUUUCAGUCGAUGAAAGCAGUACCAACUGAUAAGAAAUCCAGAGUUAAGUAUGACUUAAAAGAUAAAAGUUGAAAUAUGUCUUAAAUAAAAAGAAGAAUUACAAAGUUACCUUUCGAGAAGUUUUAGUAGGAGUUUUUCUGCUUUGCGCUGGUGGUGGUCGAGCAGUUUCAGAUUUCCUUUUCUGAGUUUUCUUUGGAGAACUCUCAGCAACAGGGGUGAUUUGGAUUGCAGUUUGUUAAAUGUCUUCUAAGGUACGAGUGUACCUAGCAUAAUAGGUAGCCCACCAUUCAGCACAUGAUUUGGUAAUAUAAGAACUGCGUUCGUAUUCUAUGAAAUUGAAAUGCUCCCUGCGCUGUUGAUUCAUGGCAAGGCAAGAGUCAAAGUCUUCUUGAGUGGUUAGAAGGAAGUGACAUAAAGAAGCAUCAUUUCGAGGCUGAGGUUUGGGAAUGGCUUGUGAGAAUCCCAAUUGUCUAGCAGAUAGGUGAGGAGCAUACAGAGUUAUCUUGAAUUUUUCUUUUUUCUGUAAAGAUAAUCCCGUGGGGAUUACCUGAACUGCUAAUAAAUGUGCCCAACUUCGUUUGGCAAGUUCACUCCCUUCAUUUGAGUGUGGAAAAAGCAAAUGAUCUAACCAGGCAGGGCCUCAGUUGCGGCGUAAGUAAGGAGUAAAAUUCAGCUGUUCAUUUUCAAAAUUUUUACAAGAAUGAAAAAGGGCGAAAACAGCCCAGAACCUAUCGUCAUCCGAUUGUGCAUUCGGGAAAUUGGGCUUGUAUGCAGCUAAUCAAAACCAUUCAAUAUACUGUUUGUCAGUUUGACCACUUUCGGGUUUGGUCAUGAAAUUUUUAAAGAUGGCAUUGAGCCAUAAUUGAAGAAGCCAUAGAGGGCCUCCUGCAUUUAUUAAUUUAUUUUCUCGUUGGUUUGUAACAAAUUGGCCGAGUUCCUCGAGGAUGUGCCCUAAGAGAAGCUUGCCCAGAUUGAAAGUUUUGCCUUAAUGGAUAAGUGAGGCCAAAGAGAGGUAAAGUUUUGACAUUUGGAUGCUACGAGAGCAAAAUAGGAUUACAUUUAACCAGUAGAAUAAGAAAGCUACAUGUUCAUUGUCAGUGAUUUUGGUACCUUCUCUACCCAUGUUAUGGGCGAUGAAUUCACUGUAAGGACUAUUCAGAACGACGUUGUAUUGACGUUCAGGUUGCAUUUCAGAAGUGUAAUCUGGUAAAUUGAAAGGGAGUCCAGUAAUUGCGGCCACGUCGAGAAGAGACAUUCCAAUCAUUCCACAAGAAAUGUGGAAAUUAUUGGUGGUUCUGUUCCAGAAGCAUGUAACAGCCCCAAUCAUCCAGGGAUGUGUAGUCAGAGAGAAAUGAGAGAGUCUCAGCAGUUCAUGAAUCCCUAGAGCUCUCCAACUGGCACUUUUGGUGGGUUCAAGACGUCGGUACCAGGCUGUAAAAUCAUAUCCUCGUGGGCUGAUUUUUGGGUUGUUCCUGAACGUCUUUUGGUUGAUAAAAUGGGAAAUGUUGAAAGAUUGAUUUAUCAGCAAAUCUUCCCCUUCAGCACUGGGAAAAGAUAGAGACUUCUUGUUCACCUUUUCCAGAGAUUCAAUUGGUCCGAGGAAGCAAUGUGUGUCAGUUCUGAUUGUGAAAGGAAUUAAAAUACUAUUGUCACUGGAUUGAAUGUGAGGGUCAUCAAUGAUUUCAUCAUUAAUCUGAUUGAGAAUGCGAAGAGCUGGUGGAGGUGGUGGUAUUGAUGCAUGGCCUUUGCCUUUGUCAGAAGGAGUGAUUUGUGAAGAAGAGCCGGCCAUUUUUAGAUUUGGAAGUUUUGUGAAGAAAUUUGAGGUUGUAAAGAAAGUCUAGAGAAUGAUGGAAUGUAGGAAAAUUGAAUGGAGGUAAGAAUGGUGCUUUUAAAGUGUUGUUGUAGCCGUUACUGUAGACAAGAUACGAAAAGAGGUAACUUCUUGAGGAAGAUGGAAUGGUGAAGAGAGAGGGCGUGACUCUUGGGAGACGUGUCGAGUGGGCUAAUGAUAAUGGAAGUUUUUAAUGAUAAUUAUUAUUAAUGUGAAAACGGAUGUUUUUGGAUUAAGUGCUCUGCUUUUCGAUAAUGAUAUUAAAGGAAACCACAUUAAUCCAAAGGGGCAAUUUGUUGAUCGAAAAUUGAUUUUCGAUAUGAAAGGAAUUGAAUCGAAAGAUAUUGAAUAUAGGCUUUCGAGGAAAUGUGUUUAGGAGGCUAAGUUUGGGAGUUGCUGACACAGAAGUUGUUUCCGAAUUGCUUUGUUGAAAUCGAAGAAGUUAAAUUGACGAGGAGAUUCGAUUUGAAGGAAGACUUUCAAAGAUUUAGUCGAGUGGUCAAAGAAGUGAGAAGGUUAGUGGAUAAUUAAUCACAUGGGAGUGGAUAAUUAAUCACAUGGAGAAUAUCUAUAAUCAUGUAGUGGAAACAGUUACCAAAGGCAGUUGUGUUUCAAAAUUGUAAUUUAUUUUAAUUUUAAUUAAUUGUAAUUAAUGUAAUUUUAAUUGACCGUUAUGUAAGGGCAGCUUAUAAAUACUAGAGAUUUUUAGUAAAAAGGGGUUAGAACUUUUACUCAGAAAAAAACACUCUAAGCACUCUCACAUCCCAGCGUAUCUCUGAGUUUGCGAUCGAGUUUCCUUUUUCUGUAGGGUUCCUUCCAUCUUCUUUUAUUCUUUUUAAUUUCAUCAUGUUUGUAUUUUUUCAUAUUUUAUUUAAUCUUAUUCAUUAAGUGUUAUUCAUAUUUCUUUAUUUUUUUCUGUUGAAUUUAGUUUUCAGUAUUUUAUCAUUACCAUUUUACAUGAAGAAGUUCUUUACUUUAAAAGAAAGUAACUUAUUGUUUUCUUUUAAUUUCUUUAAAUUGUUUACAAAAUGUUAAUUUCUGAAUUUUAUUUACUAAUUUAUGAAUUUACUGUAUUUUAAUCCUUUAAAUUUAGUCUAAUCGAAGACACUUUAAUGCACUUAUAGAAAACUGGUACUCGCACAGAGGAGUUGGUUUUGCUUCCAGACCAUUAAAAUCGAACCACCAUCAAUUUGCUAAAAAUCGUCAAAAUAGAAUUACAGUUAGGGUGAGUCUUAUAUAAUCCUAAGAAGAGAACAAAAAAACUCAUCAUUCACAACAACCCCGCCAAAAUAUCUCAACUCAUUUUAUUAGCAAUAACAAACUUUUUUUCUUUUAAUUGACUAAUAUGUAUCCUUUUCAAUGUGUACCGUCAGUUAUUCUAUAUAAUAAAAAGCAUGAAAAUUUUAAAAAUAUAUUAAAAUAUAAAUAUGUAUUAUAUUAAACAAUUUAAAUAAAAUAUUGAUUUAAUAAAAUAAUUAUCGUUUUUAUAUAAAUACAUCUUCAUGUAAAUUAAGUAGUUAUUUGUUUAAGUUUCAAACUCUCAUCAAUGGAUUUUAAAGAAAAAUAAGAGGUAAGCAUCAAAGUGGUCCCUAAAAUUACCCUCGAGGCUCAAAGUAAUCCCUGAACUUAAAAAUUUGUCGAGAUCGUCCCUGAAGUUGAUUUCCGGUACUCAUAGUGGUCCUUCCGGUGAAUUUCGUCCAGCUGUGGCAAUCGAAAAGCUGACCUGACGUCGUUGGUGACACGUUAGCAGCGCAACGGCUAGCUGACGUGGCGCAGUAAAAAUUUUGGACUCAAUUUGGUCCCUAAUUUUAGGUUAAAAAUCCUAACCCCCAAUUGACUCUCUUCUCCUUUCUUCUCCAUUGCACACGCUGUUCUCCUCUACUCUCCGUCACACUCUUCACUCUUCAUUUCUCCCUUCGAUCGUCAUCUUUCUCUGCGUCUAUUGGAUUCCGUAAACGAUGAUGUCCCCGAACAAAUUCUCAGUGGAUCGAGGCUCUCCUCCUCAACCUCAAAAGGUAAAAUUGUAUCUCAAGAGAAAAACCUAAAAUUUUCCCCAUUUCUCUAAUAUUUUGCUUUUGGAUAUGCACAUUAUUAAACGAUUAUUUCUAAUUUGUGGCAAUAUUUAUUAUUAUUGGGUUUUAUCAUGUGACAAUGGAAUAGGAGAUUUCUGCUUUAUGGUGUUUUUUAGUGCGUCAAUGUUUUAGCAUUUGAUUGUAGUCGUUAUCUUAAUGUUUCAGUUGUUUUAAGAACUCGAUUGUAGCCACUGGUUCAAACUUUUUAUGAUGAUUAUUCCUACCUUACCAUGCUAUCUAAUAUGUACUAGAUUAGUUUGAUUUGUGUUUGUAGUUGGCUCAGUGCUAGUAUGUUAUUGUGACACAUUGACACAGUAGACAAGAUAAUAUUAAGAAUCAAUGUGGAUUGUGGACAAAUUUGGUGUAUCAUUUAUUGUAGGAAAGACAUGACUAUAUAGUUUUAUGUGACUUAUCAUUUAAUAAUGAUAAUAUAAGAAAGUCUUGGGUGGUCUGGUCUUGGGAGAACAAGAUAGUGGAUGCUAGAUUAAGAAGAUUAUAUUGGAUGUUUGGUAGGAAAAUAUUUAAAAAUGGGCGGUUCUAACUUGUAGACAAAAUUAGUAAGAAGAGCUUGGAUUUAGAUGGUGUGUUUCAGUGUUUGUGGAUAUGGUUUCUGGUAAGAUACAAAGAUAUUGUUUGAUUUGUGUAGUUGAUGUGGUGCAGAAGGGAAAAGCUUUAUUGUACUCAGGAAUUUCUAAGUCUCGUGACAUUCUACUAUGCCAUACUGAUUAGUGACUGGGUUUGUUCUUAGCGUGCUGAUGAUAAUCUUCCAUUUGUAGACAAACACCAUUGCAAAUUAUUCAUGUUGCUGCAAAUUUCAUGAGGAUAUGGUCAAUAUACUCCAUGUAUCGCUACUUAACCCAAAGUGGAGCUUCGGUUGUUUUUUUCUUGUUUGCCUGCAUAGCUCCUGCAGCAAUUCUCUUUUUGAUUUUGCAAAAGCCUUGGAAGGGCAGGCCACUUUCUAAUACACAGGUAAAUUUAACUGUUUUUAUCUUAGGGCAGAGUGCUAUAUACAAACCAAUAUAUUCAUAUCCAAAGGUUUUAGUGAUAUGAACAGUCCUUGACUAGUACCAUUUGUUUUUCAGGUUGUGUCAUCCAUAAUAAAUGGUGCUAUAACAGCACUUAUUUUGUCUUGCGGAGAAAGGGACUGAGAUCAUGUGGACCAGUUAGGUUGGUUUUAGUAUGCUUGUAGAAAAUUUUAGUUUGUAAGAUUAGUGUGCCAUAUUAUUAAUCUUUAACUAUGUCUUUUUACCCAUGUAGCAUCUUGAAUGAAAUUCAUUCGCAUAGAAUCCUGAUAACUGAUUUACAGUUUGUCAUUGACCAAUUGUUAUCAGUUGCCAUCAUUAUAUAGUUAUUUCUUCAUUAUAUUAGUAUUGCGCAUGUUGAGUGAUGCUUGAAAUCAAAUUUUUAAUUUUUUAUUUAUGAACUUAACAUAGUUAUUCUCUUUCUUACUAAUUCAGAGCAAUACUGUCUGAGUAUUCUGGUGCUAUCAUUGGGAUACUAUUUGCACUGUUAUAUGGGAGGAGAAACAAUUUGAGGAAAAAGGUGAAACUUUCAUAUUGUAACAUUCAUAGAUAUCAUACAAAUGUAUCCUCAUGAUGCUUCCAAAUGAUCGUGGGUUGUUGGAACUCUUAGCUGCGUUGCUAGUGUUAGCCAUAACGUGUGGUUUUCGAAGAUGAAGAAGACAGUGAAGACUCACCUCUUGUGUGACGGAGAGUAGAGAAGAACAGUGUGUGCGAUAGAAAAGAAAGGAGAAGAGAGUCAAUUGGGGGUUAGGAUUUUUAACCUAAAAUUAAGAACCAAAUUGAGUCUAAAAUGUUUACUGCGCCACGUCAGCUAGCUGUUGCGCUGCUAACGUGUCACCAACGACGCCAGGUCAGCUUUCCGGUUGCGCCAGCUAGACGAAAUUCUCCGGAAGGACCACUAUGAGUACCGGAGAUCAACUUCAGAGACGAUUACGACUAAUUUUUAACUUCAGGAAUUACUUUGAGGUUCGAGGGUAACUUCAGGGACUACUUUGAUGCUUACCUCGAAAAAUAAUCAAAUCAAGAUUUUAGAUCUUUUAAGUUGCAUUUAUUGCAAGCCAUGAUAGUUAACAAUUUAAAUACAAUUACCCAAUACACUCACUUACCUUCAAGACAAAUAAACAGUUUUUACAGUUAUUAACUGUCAAAAAUAAUUAUUAUUUCAUUAGAGUUUUUUUUUAUGAUCACUAAAUUAUAUAUAAAAAUGUAUUUAUACGUAUUUUUACUGUUACUAAUUAGAAUAAAAAUAAAAUAUUAAAAGGCAUUUUUAAUAUUAUGGCCUAAUAAUUAUUCACCAUCGAUUCAAUAUAAUUAAGAGUUCGUUUGGGAAAUUCUAAAAUUUAUUUUUUUUAUUUUUGACUUAUAAAAAGUUAUAUUAAUAGUGUUUGGUACAAUUUUUUAGUUAAAUUUUUAACUUUUUAAAAAGUUAUUUAAGAGUUUUUGAAAAAGUUAAAAAUGUGACUUCUCCUAUUUUCAAAAGCUAUUUUAUCACUCUUAUUUAAUACACAACUUUAAAACAAGGACUUCUAUAAUAACUUUCUAAACACAAAAUAACUUAUUUAAAAGUUGUUAUUAAUAAAAAUCCUUAUAUUUUAAGCUCUUUUUUCAAAAGAACUUAUUUAAAAAAACACUAAAAAUAUAUUUUUUUUAAAGAUGUUUAUAUGUGUCAUGUUAUUAUUAGACAUCUUUAUUAAAUCGGUUAAUAAUUUAUUUUUUAAUAAACCAGAACAAAAUCGGUUUAUUAUAGCAACAAUAAUAAAUCUAAUUGUUUACAUUAUAAUUAUUAGACCCAAUUUGAUCUGAUCGAAUUAUAUAAUCUAAAUCGAAUAUCUUUAAAUUUUUUGAUAAAAAGACAAAUAUAUCUCUGACUUUUUUAUUUUGCGGAUAUUUAAAUUCCUAAAAAAUUAAAAAUACAAUUAAAUCCCUAAAAAAAUUGAGUUUAUUGUUAUUGUUAUAAAAAAAGUCGAUUUUAUUCUAAUUUAUUAAGAAAUUCAAAAAUAACAAGUUAAUUAAUACGUACAAUAAUAAUACAACACGUAAACAUUUUACAAAAAAAUGUUUUACUCAUUUUUAUGAAAAGCAUCCCAUACAAGUUAAUCAGCCACAUUGAUUAGUCUUGGUACAUAUAACUAUAUAAGUACUAAUGAGUUAAACAAUUCUGAUCAACGUAAUAUAUAAUCCCAAUAACAUGAGUAGAUUAGCAAAAGUCUUUACAUACAUGUACAAUGCAAGGGCAUUACUUAGGAGGGAAUGCAAGUCAUACUUAAAAAAAAAUAGCAAUGAUAUAUAGAAGUAAAUAUUUAUUUUUUUAUUAUAUUUUAUUUGUCCUCAUAAUAAAAUAUAAAUUAUUUUCUUAAGUUUUAUAUUANNNNNNNNNNNNNNNNNNNNNNNNNNNNNNNNNNNNNNNNNUUUAUUAAUAUGUAUAAAAAUAAAAAAAUAUAACAUAAAUCAAAAUAAUAAGUGUUUAGAGGUACCUGAUUAAAUUAUUAAGUAAUAAGAUCGAUCUGAUCAUCUUAUUAGGUCAGAUCCAAUAAAGUGAUUCAAAUUAACGAUUUAUUCUUUUACAAUAUAAUUUUAGAUUUUUAGUAUUUUGAAUUCUAGCCGUAAGAAUUUUGUAUUUUUAUUAAGCAAUCUUUCGGUUUAAGUAAUAAUAAAAAAGUAAAAAUAUAUAUAUAUUUUUAAAUUAAAUAUAAUAAAAAUUAUUUGUUAAAAUAAAAAUAUAUUAAUUGCUAUCNNNNNNNNNNNNNNNNNNNNNNNNNNNNNNNNNNNNNNNNNNNNNNNNNNNNNNNNNNNNNNNNNNNNNNNNNNNNNNNNNNNNNNNNNNNNNNNNNNNNNNNNNNNNNNNNNNNNNNNNNNNNNNNNNNNNNNNNNNNNNNNNNNNNNNNNNNNNNNNNNNNNNNNNNNNNNNNNNNUCAUUUACGUUGCAUUAUACAUGCAUUAUGCAAUAAUACUGGUUAGCAAUUUAGCAUAUAUAUUCCCAAGGCCACUUGCCAGUUGCCAUGGUUUCAUCAAUUUGCUUACCUAAGUUUUCCCACGCGUCCUACUAUUCACAUUUUACGCUCUAAAAUCGAAUGGCUCAAUCGGUAGUGUUGAUAAGCUUCGUUGACCCUUCAUUUCAUUGCAAUUUAACCCAAUCGAAAUAUAAAUGUUUUAGGUUGUAUUUAAGGAAGGUUAUCAUUUAAUUUUUCAACCACUUUGAUUUAUCUUCUUUUUCAUUUAUCACUAUAAAUAGUGCGGAGGAGAAACGUAAGCUCCAUGAUAAAAUGCUCCGGCGGAUAUAUAUGGAUGCACGGAUCUAUAGUUCUCUAUACAUAGGUGUGUGUUUGUUUCAAUGAUGUUCAUAAUGUAAAUAAUAAGAAAUAAGAAAUAAAGCAUGGUGCAUGAACUAGUAAACUACCACGGACUUCAUACAUGCACCAUGCCAUGCAUGCUCUUGUGCUAUCUGUAUCUAUCUGUACCGUCAGUUAUUUCAUAUAAUAAAUCGCCACGUCUCUGAUGACUACAGAAAUGGUGGCUAUGGUGACUUUUUGUUGACUAAUACUAAAUUCUAAACCAUCCACAGUAAUUUGUGAUAUUUAGUUAUUUACCUAAA